UCCUCCUCCCGCCGCCGCCGCCGCCACUGCGUCCUGUCAGCGCCGGUUGCUAGGUGUGGUGCGUCGGGAGGGGGCCGGGGCCGGCGGCCGCGGGCGGGGGCCGGGGAGCUUGCCCUCUCCCUGGGAGGCGGCCGAGCGGCCCGGGCGGGGCCGGGGACGCGGGCCCGGGGGCUCUGGGUGCCCUCCCCUGCCCCGGCCUGGCGCGGACGCCCGGGCGCUGCGGGCUGAGGUCUUGGGUGCGCCCGCGGGCCGCGCCCAGCGCCCCGGGGUCGACGCGCCCUGGAGGCCCCUGCGGCGGCGUCCGCUGGAGAGACACCCCCAGGGCCCAUGGCCGGGCAUUUAACUGCACCCCGGCUCUUCGAUUUGCCUUUCUAAUGGUGCUAGGCCCGAGGUGCGCUGGCUGCGCCCUGGCAUCGGCGGCGGCCUGCGCAGCGCCCCGGGCCCGGGAGACGCCGGGGAGGGGGCGCCCCGCAGGGUGGCUGCUUUCCCUUCACGCCUGGACCCCUGGACCUUUCAACAAGUCCUCUGAUUUGCAGAAGUCAUUGCACACAUUUGCACACUUCUAUUCGGAACCCCUGCUAAGGGAGGUGGGCCGGGUGCAUCUGGCUUAGGCGGUCCAACCACCUGCGGAAGGUGUGACCGACGCCAGCGAGUUGUCCUGCGUGGGCUAGAAGGUGAAGGGUCCGAGCGAUGUCCCAAUGGGGCUGUCUAAUCCAGAGAACCUGUAAAUUGCCCCCAGGAAGUCCAAAUGAAUGCCAUGGAUUCAGCCAUGUGGAUGCAGCUCACGUUUCUACAAAGUUGAGAGAAUAAAUCACGACUGCUGUGUAUUUAUGCAGGAAUAAAAUGAGGCAGAACCCUAUGCUCCUUUGCUUAGUAUAGUGCUGUCUCUGCACACAGUGGCUGCUUAAUAAGUGUUGAAUGCCUGUUUAGAAUGUGAUUUGAUGGGCCAUCCGGAAUAGGAGAUAAUCAUGGGAAACGUCUACAAAAUGUCUUUCAGAGGAAAAUGCUGUUGAGUAAUUGUCCAGGUUUUGAAACUUUUCAAGUUUUCAGGCGUCCUUGUAAUAGCUUCUUCCAUUUCCUCUGCUAAAGGUAUGACAGAAGAGCUGGGCAAGUUUUGGUAGUCUUAAAAGCAGUUUAAUGGAGCAACAAAUGUGCUGAUUCAUAUCAUGAUUGAAUAGUCAUAACUGAAAGUGCUUGAAAGUAUUAAAUCAGAUUUUUCAUGAUGGCUAGUUUAAAAUAAAGCGAAAACACCGGUACUGUGAAGUUCUGGUAGAAAUGUUACUAGUUCAAGUUCUUCCCCUUACUCCCAAUAAUAAGUAAAAAAAAAUAUAAAUAAUGCUAUAAAUUAAUAUGUAUGAUAUAAGUAAUAUAAAUAAUUUCUCUUGACUUACAGAAGGCUGUCAUUGCAUAUCCCAUCCAUUCUCGCUAACAGUUAUUUCAGAAUAAACUAUAAUUUAUAUAAGCUGAGUAAUAAUUUUACCCCAUUGCCUACCUACUUAGACAAGCUGGUUAAAAGACAGUAUAAAUUAUAUUUAUAAAAAUGUGUUAAAGACAGUUAUCCUUCUUGAGGAUUUAGUUUGAGAUGGUUUAAAACUUGGUGAAUCAUGAGGUGUUUUUUUUUAAGUGUAGAAAUUGUCUUAAUAUUUUGCACACAUUUUUAAAGAAGGUUAAGAGUUUGAUACGUUUUCUAAAACUCAGCUUUGAAGUAACGCUACCUCAUUCCCAGAAGGCUAGUGUUGUCCUUUUAAUAGUGCAAAUGUGGAAAAAUUAAGUUUACAGCAAUAGCAGUGACCUAGGUGAACUGUGUCGCAGGGCUAACACAGUUGAAAACAGUUUGAACCAGCAAACUUUAUGAAAAGCAAAUGUUAAAAUGAACAAACACUUGCAAUUCCCAGGAUGAAGAGGCUCAAACUAUUAUACACCUCUGCUGGGGAGAGGCCCUUUACUAUCAAAGGCAGCCCUAUAUGCAGAAAGAAGUAAGAACUGAUCUUAAGAAGAAUAAAAACAUCCCAAUUAGUAGAUAGUGUCAUAUAAAUACACUUCUGAUGAAAAGACAUGGGUGAAAAUAUAAAGCAUUUAGUCAAAGUUCUAGACAGGUAUUGUUAUGUGGUAUUUAUCGUUUUUGAUUCAAUCUAUAAGUAUUUGGAGACCGUUAAUGAUUGACUUACUGAUUUCAUGUCUGUUGGUGAGUGGUUACAUUAAAAAGAUUAAUGAAAAGAAUAAGAGGUGUGUUAUUUUGCUUUUAAUUUGUUCAACAGUCUUGUUAUUUAGCAACCGUGAGUAUUAGAGAUAUGCUUAGGCGAGCAUUCCAUUUUGGGGGCCUAUCUGGGUUAUUACCUUUAGCCACUAGUAAAAACCCUUAAACAGCGAUAAAAUGAAUAUUUAUGGGAAUAUGGUGUGUUUCUUGCUUGGCAGAUUUUUCAAGGCCUGUGUUUUUCAUUAUAAAAGUAUUAUGUUUAGUUUGGAUUAAUUAAGUGCAUUAAGUUGAGAAUAACUCUCUGUUAUCUUAUAUGUGUAUGCUUAACUUUUGUUUUUAACUGUUUUCCUCUCCCCAUAAUGAACAAGGAUUUGGGGGCUUUGGAACCAAGGGAAGUGUGAUUUUCACCACCCACUGUUUUAGCUCUUUUCCCUCCUGGAAGAGUGCUGUACUGGUGUUCCUGUUUUCUUUCUUGCAUUUCACUGCUGGUUCAGUACUGGAGUACCUGUCUCAGUGUAUACACUGAAUAUCCUAGCUAAAACUCUCCCCCAUCCCCACUUAAAUUUAAAUUGCCGAGAAAUCCCAUAGCCCUGCAACUGUGAAGUGCUUCUCCAUCAAUUUUGUUAUCAAUUCAUUCAUAGGUCUGAGUCUGUUACAGUAUGGAGAUGGGAAAAGCAGGUCCAGGUUUGCUUGCUUCUUAUUUUGAGUAGAUAAUUGAGUUUGUAGAAACAUUCUUGGUAUGAACAUCCUAGAUAGAUGAAGUUAAACUGGUAACUGGGAAUCUUAGAAACACCAGGAGCACUAAAUUUAGCACUGAAGGUCAUGUCCCAGGCUCAUGAAAUGCCUGCUACAACCCUGCAUCCCAGUUCUAUGAAAUCGUAUGGCUUUUUGUCUCAGAAACACAACUGUUGAAUCAUUCUUAUUGGAUUAUUUGGUGCAUUUUUAAAAGUACCUCUGCAUUUUGAAUUUAUUUAUGUAAUAAUAUGUAUUGAGUCCCUAGUUUAUGCCAGGCAAAGUUAUGAGCACUUGAUAUUUUUUGGUUAACAAAAUGAAAAUAUCACUCUUUAGGAAGUUUAUAUUCUAGGAUAGGGGGCCAGACAAUAAACAAUUGAAGUAUGUGAUACACAGUAUGUUGGGAGGUGGUUAGUGAUACAGAAAAGAGAAAAACUAGAUCAGGGUCCGGAGGGUUGGGAGGAGAAAGUAUGAGAAUUUUAAAUAGAUUGGUCAGGGUGGGCCUUGCUGAGAGGCUGAUAUGGGAGACAAAACCUCGAAGGAGGUGUGAGAGUUAGUCAUGAGGACAUUCUGGGCGCAGGCAGUACACAGGCCCCAAGGCAGGCCUGCACCACUUGAAUAGAAACACAGGAAUCUGACCCAAUUCAGUUAUUCAUGUGAUCGUACCAGACUAGCAGGUCAUUUAGAACUUUCCUCAGAUGUUAGGAUCCUCAGCUUUGCUAUUGAAACAUUUCCCUGCAAGGGCCCAGUUAAGGGGCAGAGUCUCAUUGACCAAGAAUGGCUUGCAUUAGCUAUGACUUGGUUCUUGACCCCAAAUAUCAACAGGUUUCUUGUGAGUCUCUACUUGUUAGUUUCCUCAUCUCCAAAACCCAGGUAAUAAACCUAUAGUGCUUCAUUUCAUAGUAUAGAUUUAUAAACCAUCUAAUUAAUAAAGGUCAAAGUUUCUGGAAAAAAAAAUCAGGGCAUUUACUAUCAAAACUAUAGAAUUUAGCUCCUAAGAUGAUUUAGUAAAUAUUUGCAUUAUCUUCUCAAAGGAGCAUCACAGUGUACUAAAUAGAUAAGCUGUGCAAUAUGUCAUAGGCCCUUAUUACUCCCACUUUUAGGUGAGCAAACUAAGGUACAGUUUAUAAUUGCCUAAGCUUUCGUGGCUGAUGUGUAUGAUUUGAGAUUUGAAUUCCAGACAGGUAUGGAAAGCUAAGCCUAUGCCAGUUGCCAAUUAGGUGAAGAACAUGACUGUCCCCUCCUCACCUCCCCUCACACGAUUGACUGUGUUUCCUCCUUUAGAAAGUAACUGAACUCGAGAUGAAGGUCAUCUGAGCAGUGGCACAGCGAAUCCAGCCUGCUUGGAGUUGAACACACAUGUCUGCCACUUGUCAGCCUUAUGACCAGGGGCAAAUUAACCAUACUAUGCCUCCUCUGUAAAAUGAGGAUAGUAGCAGCAUCCAUCUCACAGAGUGGUUAGUGAGGAUUAAGCGAGAUAAUAUAUGUGAAGUGUUUAUCUGCAAUAAUAAGUUGUCUACAUCAUCUAGUUUCUUGCCAUUUGUGUAUCUGCUAAAUAAAUAUGUAAUCCUACUGUCAGAGUCUACCUUCGAGAUUAACAUGGGUUGUAUCCACCUAUUAGUGGUGCUGUUUUGGGCAUUUUAUAACUAUGACAUCAUCAGGCUCUUCCUGGGAAGGACUGAGAAUGGAAAAUAGGAGACUCCUCAACAGUCUAGUGCUGGUGUUGCAGCUUCUGGCCACGUUCUCUUUUGUGUGGCCAGAGGCACUUUACACCCUGGCAGAGGCAUUUGCCACAGUGGACUGGGAAAGUGGUGUCAAAGCCAGCGGCUUCCAACAUGGCCUUUCCUUGUGGCCUGAAUUUAUUUGAAAAAAUCCAGGACUAGAAAGAGGCACUGUGCCUUGGGCCUGUGGGUGCAUUCCAUUGAGGACACUUCCUGUGGGGAGAAGGAAUGACUGAAUGAAUAAAUGAAUGAAUGAAAGGCUUGUUGCUGCCUGCCCUGCUCUCUGCCUGUGCCCUGUGGCUUGGCGGCAAGAUCUCCCUGUUACUCCCAGGGUUCCCGAGAAGCCCCCAGGUGUAAUGCUAGGAGAAGUUUUAAAUACAUGUGCAUACACACACACACACACACCCCAUAGGCAGGAUCAGGGAACCCGAAAUCUGAAACUUUACGGCAGUCUCCAAAACUCUCUCUUCACUGGUUUUUCCAUUAGCCUCUUCUCACCUGUAAACAGUCAGAUCAUCCUUUAUAAAACAUCACUGUUGAACAUCCUGUCUCAUAAGUUUCACAAGCUUCUAAUUGUUUUCAUUUAGUAUACACAUUUUCUGACAUGUGACCGAAAUGUACAGACACCAAAACUCUGCCUGUAACUGACUGGGUUGACAAAAACCUACAUAUUCUUCAGAAAAUGGUUUCCUUUAGAGUUCAUAUAUUUCGGAGAUAUCUCCUACAUUGACAGUUCUAGAAAUACAAACUGACAGCUGUUUUGAGAAAACCCAAUUCUUCCCGUAGAUGACAGUGAGGAUACCUUAAGGCUGGCACAGGCUGGUGACACUUGAUGAGGGGCUUCCCUGGGACUGUUUGGAAGCCAGAGGCCUGGUGUUGUAGACUGAGUCUGAGAGACAGGAGGCAAUGUUUCUGAAUUCCUUAAAAAUCCUCCUUUUCUAGUUUUAGCUUGUAGGGCAACAAUCAUACAUACCCCACAUUCCCUUAUAUUUCUCUACCCCAUUCUUACACCCACCUUCAGAUCUUGACAGUACAGACGUGUCCUGUGUACAAAGAAAUACUUGCCGGAUUGUAGAUACUCAUUUUGUUUCAUGGUGAGGUAAUAGAUUUAUUCCAUGUUGACCUGGCUAACGUAUUAAGUUGAAAAAUGUUAUUUAUUUAGAAUCUGAAGAUAGGAAACCAUAGAUGUCAGAAAUUUAUUAUGUGUGUAUUUUUUAAAAGUGCCUUCCAUUUAAUAUAUUUAAUUGGUGUAAAGAAAAUUGUAUUUUCCCCUCGCUGUAAGCACUGGAAUGUUGCAGUAGUUUUCACCUACUUUUUUUUUUUUUUUUUUUUUUUUUUUAAAGCUAGCUGCAAGCAGGGACCAGAUUAAUGGAUAUCCUCUUUAAGGGAGAAGUCUUUCCAAUUGCUGUCAACUUUGGCAGGAGUCAGAGGGACUCUUCUUGGGUCACUAACAAUAGACUGUCUGCCCAGCACCAGAGAGCACUGAUAGUCCCCUGACGGCCAUUGUCCCUUGCCCAGCUCACCCACUGGCCUCCCAAGGAAGCACUGUUUAUUGUCUGCCAGACUACAAUGGUGACCUUCUCCUGAGAUAGACCUCCUUGAAGGGACAUGAUCUGGAUACCAGCCCCUGCCCACAGCUGCUGCACCAGUGGGGAUGUGCUCUGAACUGUGUGGUCACCUCCUGUGCACUGUUUCCUCCCCCAGAAACUCAGGGUCUUGUCAUCAUCCUAUCCUCCUCCCCAAGACGUGUUUUCAGAAAUGGAGGCUGGGGUGGAGGUUUUACUGUGAAGCGGUUACGCAUGCCACUGGAAUCCCACAGGCUACGUGACCUUGGCCAACUUAUUUAAUUCCUGUAGCCCUCAGCUUCUGUGCAAUGAGGAUGGGAAUAGUAUUUAUCUCCCAGUGUUGUUAUGAGGAUUAAGUAGAAACAUGACUACGAAGGGUCUGGAGAUCAGGAAGCCCCCACACAUGUUAUAACACUGAUAGGAUUUACCUUUUUUUUGCAUCCAUGGUGAUGCUCCCUAUGCCACAUACUCCUCAAAGUCUCCUGUCCUCUUCAUAUUUCCAUAAUAUGAUGGGAGAAAAACAAUCAAAAUAACCAUAUACAUUUCUGCUUUUUGUUAAAUAUUUUAACUUGGAGAUAUUAGGUGAAAUUUGAUUUCCCUGGUGGAGUUUUGGUUUGUGUUUGUAUAAGUCAUACUGAGUGGUCGUAGGAAUUCAUGAGCUGUUAAAACAUUCCACACACAAAUUCUUGCUGUUUGAAAAUAUAGCAGCCUUAAUUUAGUAUUGUUUAUCCAGAUUUAAGUUUUUGAGACAUUAGAUCAUGUGAUUAGAAAAAUACUUCCAUGUUUGAUAAAUAUAAUUUUCUAUUUCGGAAAGAAGGCAUUUCAAGAGUCUAGAGAGGUUUGUUAAUCUAUAUAAGCAGAAAACAUAAUUAUUACAUGUUGCAACAACCAAGCAAUGGAAAAAACAAAAGAUGAUUUUAUAUGUGUGGUUUGUAAAGGUUUGUGGUGAAUCAUUCGAAAGAUUUGUAGGGCUUUUAUGAAGAAAUCCAAGAACAUGACUAUAGGACUCACAAAAUGCCAUGCCUUCCUCUUUAAGGGGCUGUGCAUCUCUUUAAUAAUAGUCCUUGAAAUGUUACAGACUUAAACACUGGAAGCUUCUCAGGAAAACCCCAGACUGGGCCUUGUUUUAGAAGCUUGCAUAGCAAUAGUUGAGUUGUUUACUUAUUGCAGAGAAUAUUUAAAAUACUUUAUUCCUAAACAAUCUUUGUCAACAUCACUUGAAACCAUUUUUAGUCUUAUAGAAUAUAUUGCCCUGAUACAGUUAAGCAGCUGGUCCAGGCUUAUUUGACUUAGCAGUAGUUGAGUAAGAAAAUGGUUUCCAACUUUUUUUUAUAUAUAUAUGUAACCAAGGGCCUCUUUUGUUAAUUUUCCUUCUCCCUUCUCAUGGGCUCUAUUUCUUGAAAGAUUUUGUCUAACAAAACAGGCUGAUUUAAUAAGUAAUUAAAUGCUUUUUUUUUAUUUUUCAUGCAGCAACAUCUCAAACACCCAAUUUAUGUGUUUAGUAACUAUUUAUUGAGUGCCAACUAUGCAGGCACUGUCUAGGAGCUGGGGACAUAGUAGUGAACUACACAGUUAAAGCCUCAUGCUCAUGGAAGAAGCAGACAAAACACAAUACAUGAGCUAAUUUCAAACAGUCAUAACCUUGUGAAGAAAAAGACAGCGAGUCAGGAGAGAGAGGUUGAAAGGCCUGUUUGAGAUAAAGUGGUCUGGGACGGCCUCUUUGAGAGGGAAACAUUUCAGAAGGGGUCUGAAUGAAGUUCAGUGAAGCUCGAUGAAGGGGAGUGAAUGAGCCAUUGGGGCGUCUAGGGGAAGAAUGUUCCAGGCAGAGGCUGCAAGGGCCUGAGAUCGGAGUAUCUGGUGUGUUUGAGGAGGAGAGUGGUGGGGGUGGGAUAGGAGAGGGAGCUGGGACCUGCAUGUGUAGCCUUGUGUCAGCCAAUGUCACCACACAGAGGGAACCUAAUUCCAGCCCCAAAGGAUGAUGUGGAAUGUUGUGUGACUUCGUUAUGGUCAGUUUCCAUUCUGCUUUUUUAUAACAUUCAAAUAGCUCAAAACCCCAUUACCACCUUCAAAGCCCCCUAGGGACCUGAGAAGCCCUAACUGGCACUCUAGUUCUCUUUAAAUCUAGUUUGCUUGUUUUUUAAUUCUAAAAGCUCUAUUUAUUUUUUGUGUUCUGUAUUGAAAUAAAAAUUUUUGGCUAAUGUAACUCACUUGACUAAUGUAAUUUAUUUAGUGUUUGCUAUUUGGAAGUGGGAGUGAAAAAUAAGGUUGCUGUUUUUGUUUUGUUUUUGUUUUUUUCUUUUGAGACAGAGUGUCACUCUGUCACCCAGGCUGGAGUGCAGUGGCACCAUCUUGGCUCACUGCAGCCUCCGCCUCUCAGGCUCAAGCAAUCCUCCCUCCUCAGCCUCCUGAGUAUCUGGGACUACAGGUGCGCACCACCACACCUGACUGAUUUUUAUAUUUUUUGUAGAGAUGGGGUCUCCCUGUGUUGCCCAGGCUGGUCUCAAACUCCUGGGCUAAAGUGAUCCUUCCGCCUAGGCCUCCCAAAGUGCUGGGAUUACAGAUGUGAGCCACAUGCCGGGCCAAGUGUGUUGUAUUAAAAAUAAUGUUUGGUACAUUUUUCAAACUGAGAGCCUAUAGAUUUUUUUUUAAAAAUUUCUUCAGUAGCUUUGUGAAAUCUGCAUAGAUUUUAGUGGUUAUGAGACUGCCAGAAAUGGGGGCAGGGGAGGAGAAUGGUCUUGAAAGCAGUAACGUAACAUGUAUUUUAUUUGAGAAAAAGUACUGAGGGAGAUUGUAUAGAUUCCACCUCUGAAGAUACUAUUUCACCAUCACAGUGCCAUUUCUUUAAUUCUGAAAGGUAGUAUUUUAUGAAUUCCAUGAACAGUUUUUUUCUUUCACAUCUGCAUGUUAUGGAGAGAUGUUAGUGGAAACAUUUUACUGUCAGAAUAAGCCAUUUGUUUUACCGAGGACAUCUGGACCUGUUGUCUGUAUUUUAACCUGUCAGCAUCUUUGUUCAAGUAAUUAAAAGUAGUGUGCUUUGAGUGACAGGAUGCCCAUGCAGUCGAUGAAGUUCAAGAGAAAAAUCAGAGUGUGAGAUAUGCCAAGAUACGUAUAUUCGUACCUGUAAUUUAGCCUUUCCUAAAUUAAAAUGAUGAUCAGCUGCUGCUACAAUAAUGCAGCAUCACAAACUAUCCCAAAACUCAGUAGCUUUAGACAAUAAGCAUUAAUGCUAUCUGGUCUGCAGGGGGACUGUGGUUUGGCUGAUUGAGGCUGGGUUCAGCUGGGUGGCUCUGUGUUAGGCUGCUGGUCAGCUAAUCUGCUGUGGGUUGGGCUCACAUCUGGUCACAGAUGUUCCUUCUGGGAACCAGGCUGAAGGGGCAGUAGCUAGUAGGGACAUGGUUUUCUCAUGGUGGACUACUAGAGCUCAAGUGCCAAGCCAAACCACAGAAGCUUAUUUAAGGCCUCUAUUCACAUCAUGCACAUAACAUUCCUUUUGCCAAAUUAAGUCAUAUGGCCAAGGCCAGAAUUAUUAGGUCAAGGAAGUAUGUUUCUUUUGAGGAAGAGCUGUGAGUGAACAGUAAUCCAAUCUACUAUGGAUGCAUUUUAUCAGAAAUAGGAAGAGUCCAAAAGGAUUUUGAUGUUUAGUACAGAGAUAAAAAUUUUCUCCUAAAGUGACCACGGUACUCUUUAAACAGGAGGUUGCUGUCCCUACGACAUCCCAGAGGGCUUGGGACGCAUAUGUUGUAACUCCCCAUGGAGGAGUUAAUAAGCAUUUCAAGCAGGGAAAUUGGGACUUGAAGGGGAGAAAAGCAAUUAAAUGAUUUCUCCUUGGCCGCAAAGAAUAGGGGAACCUGCUUGUUUGGUUAGGGAUGACCCCUUUUCAUUACAAGGUUCCUUAAGAACCUAAAGCUUUAAUUUGGGUUGCCAAGUCUUCUGUACUUGUAUUCUCAAUUCCUGAGCUGCUUGGCAAGGCUGAGAAGGUUAAGGGGUGCUUCCUGUGAUGCCCUCCCCUAGCAUAGAGAGCUUUAAGAAUUUUGGGGUGCUUUGCCACUUGUUCCUGUGCCCUUCUCUUCCCCAGUUCCAAGUUGGUGUCACGGAGGAUGGAAAAGGACAGCCCAGCCAGUUGGGAACCUCUUUUUCCCUUUCUCCCACUGUAUGCCACACCUUCUUGUGGCUGAGAGAGCUGUCCCUGAUGUCAGUUGUCCCAGGUUCUGGUUGGACUGCUGUGUGACCUUGGGCAACUUACUAAGGUAUGAUUUUUCCAUGUGCAAACUGAGGAAUAGGAUACCUGCCAUAUAAGGCUGAUGUGUGAGGGGCACAUGUUAAACAUUUAAUGACUAUGAGCUGAUAAUGCUUUUGUUAUUAUCUGGUAUAACAGGCACAACAGGCAGCAUUCUAUUAUUGUUAUGCCAGUAUCUUCCUGUUUCUCCUCACUAAAUUGUGGGCCUCCAGAAGACAUGAUCCAUGGCUCUGCAUCUCAUCUGCAAUGGCACUAAGUUUAUGACGCAGGAACUUAAACUGAUAGCCACUGAAUCGUAUUCAGAUGUUUCCUCUACCAUGAAGUCUUAAGCUCCAAGGACCAGAUUAGAUUAUUCCUAAAAACAGAUUCAGUCCUCCUUUUUUCACUUACAUAUUUUGCCUGAAAUAAAGACUCUUGAAGCCAUAGGAAUGUAAAGGCUUUGAGUUAGUUUCAUGCUUUACCUUUCAUCAGACAUUUUAUACACCCAAGGAAGCCCCUGGUGUCUUUAUGUUAUAUCAGAAGAGUUGCAAAAAGCAUGGAGACUAAUUUUCAUGGUGUGUCUGCAAGACUUAAAGGGUAUUUAAAGAAUAUAUCCUUCUAAUAUUCUUCUAACACCUGUCCUUUUACUUGUCUGUCAGGUUGUGGCCAUGAUCUUACCAUUUAGCUUGUUGACAGGUAUUGUAAAUGUUUCAGCUUAAGUCACUGAUCCCGAGGAGCGGUCACUCUAGGACAAAAAGUUCAGCUGUUGUAACAAAUAGGCCCAACCUUACGUGAACUAAAGGCUCAAGAAGUUUGUCUCUCUUUCACAUAAGGUAGAAGCUGGAUUCUCUGGGGCCUGAGGAUGAAACUUUGUGUUCCUCUAGAGGGAAAGGGAAAGAGUAUGGAGGAGUACACAUACAAUGUGUAUGGCCUAGGCUAUUAGUGAUAACUUCUUAUUUCCACUUUCAUUGCAUUAGUGAGAACUUAAUUGCAUGGCUACAUGGAACUGCAAAGGCACUGGUGCAUGUAUCCUCAGCAUGGCCUAGCUAUAAUUCUAUUACUGUAGAGGAAAGGAAGGCCUGAUUUGGGUAGACAGUUAGCAAGUUCCUGCCUUGGACCAAAUAAGUGAGCCUGCUGUUGAGAACUUUGCCUUUCCUUUGAAUAGGUAACAUACAGCCUAAUGGUUUAAUGGAGAGAGUAGAUGGUUAUAAUGACAAUUAAUAGCAAUUACAAUUUAUUGUGCUGCAACUAAGUACUAGGGACUACAAAACACAAUUGAAUGUAUUUUCUCAUUUGACCCUCUCGGAAAGGCUGCAAAGGAGGUACUAUAUAUUAUUUGGAUUUUGUAGGCGAAGACACUGAGCCUUAAGGAGAGUAAGUAACCCCCUCAAGAUCACACAGUCAGGCCUGCUUGACUCCAAAGCCUUCACCAUACUGCCAUGCGAAUGGUGAGAUUCUUGGGGAAUAAAGGAUAAUCAUAUACUGCUUCUAAGUCUGGUUUUUAUAGCUAGUUAGCAGCAAAGGCUGCCAGGGAAAGCAGUGGGUUCAUUGGAAAUAUUCAAGCAGAGGCUGUAUAACCAUCUGCCAGGGAAGCCCCAGAGGGACUUACUGCUUUUCACUUUGCCAUGGGGACCUCCAUGAUUCUCUGUGAAGAUCACAUGCAGUUUCUGAAUGUCACUCCUGACACUCAUUCCUGUGACAGCAGCAAAGCCCCCAUUAGCACAUGUUCUGUACUUCCUUAAUAAUGAGGAGGCACCUGGUAACGUAGAGUGCAAGAGGGCCAGUAGUUGAAACUGGAGUUCUCUGUGACCUUGACUAGUCACUUCAACCUGUAGCCUCCAUUUCUUGGGGAAUAAAAUGUGUGCAUUGGGCUUAAUCACUGGUUUUCUAGGAGUGUUCUUGGGGCUCUAGGGUUUCUGUAGGACUUCCUAGUAGUUUUCAUCCUCUACCUACAGGGCUUUUGAGUAGACUUUUUUUUUUUUUUUUUUUAGAUUAAAGGAUUUUUCAAGUUAAAAAAAGUAAAAACCAAAAGGCUGGUUAUAAUGAUAAUGGCUAAUAUUUGUUGAAUGCCUGAAUUAUGCUACAUAUUAUUAUUGUUUCGACAGCCUUACAUGAAUUAAUUCAUCUAUGGGGUGCAUCUAUUAUUAUUCCCAAUUUACAAACGAGGAAGCUGAGCUACAGAGUGCUUAAAUAAUCUGUUCACUGUCACUUACUAGAACAUAACCAGAGUUCAGACUUAGACGUUGAGAUCCACAGCUACAUUCUAAUGCAGGAAUGGAUGAUUUCUGAGGUUUCUUUCAGAUCAAAAAAUGCUGUGGUUCUAUACCUGAUAGCUCAAGAACUUUUCUCUCCAACCAAACCAAAAACAAACUUCCAAAUGAUUUACUACCUCCUUCUUGACAAUUAGAAGCUGAAUGCAAACCAUAAAGGUCCAUAUCUUGCUGAUAAUUUUAGAAAGCCUGUAAUCUUUUCAUGAUCACCUGAUGCAGCAUGAGGUACUGUCAUGCUGAAGUUUCUGACUAUGGAGCUGUUUCGAUAAAUAUAUCGUGACCUUCCUAAAACACAGCUGGUGGAGAUCAUAAGUGGGGCCACCUUCUGAUGAGAUGGUUUUGGUAUGCAAGGAAUGGCCUCCUGGGAUGGAACUAAAGCGAUGUUUUGUGGCUGACAAUGCUGCGAGGGCAUCUGAGAAUCUUAGAGUUUUGCAGCAGAAGGAACCUUUGAGGACAUCUCACCCAACAGCCUCCCUUCACAAAACAAGCCUUGCCUACCGUGUGCCAGGCCCUUCUGUAAGUGCUGGAGGUGCAGCCACAAGCAAAGCCCUUGCCCUCAUGGAGCCUACAUUCUAGAUGGGGGACACAGAUAGACAACAAAGAAACAAAAGUAUGUCAUAUUAGGUAGUGGUAAGGGCUGGAAAGAAAGGUAGAACAGGGUGAGGGGAGAGAGUGACAGCGGAGUUCUGCCUGGGUUAUGCUAUAUUUGGGGUGUUUAUGCAAAUUCACAUUUCUCAACUCUUUUUUCACUAUGUACCCCCAUAUCCUGGAGCCUUUUUUGACAUUUUUUUCCUAUUCCCAUCCCUCCUCAUGAGAUUUUAAUACCACAGAUAAACUGUGCAUCUGUUGAUGUCCUAUAUGUAACCUGUGCUUUACACUUAGAGUGAGAUUGCGUACCCCACCCAGAACCGAUUUUCACCACCUGGAGGGCAGUAUCACCCCAUCAUUCUGUUAAGUUCUGCUUUUUUGCUAUUAUAAGCAAAACCAAACUCAUGAAGUAGCCAUUUUUAAACUAUCACAAUCUAACCUAAAACAACUUUUUAAUUCAAAGCACUUUAUUUUGUAAUUAUGGUUUUGUUUAUAAGGGGUAUCAGGGCUUGGGUGAAUAUUUUAAAAAAUUAUUCAGGCACUAGGAGUGAAGUAUGAGAAUCUAGACUCCCCAUUUUUAUGCAGUCUACAGUAUAAUAGGCUAUGUGUAUACCAGGAAGAAUGAACUUUACUAGGUAAAACUGAUUCUUCCUGCAGUUGGUAAGGAGGCUGAAGACUGCGACUGAAGCCCCAUCUCCCAGUGCUGCAGCCUCCUCCUGGGCCUCCCUGCCUCUACUUCCUCCACCACCCUAGAGCUUGUCCUCCACAGCAGCAAGAGUGAUCCUUCAAAAUGUCAAUCAUGUCAAGCCACUGUGCUGACAAGGCUCUCCAUUCCAACAAAAGAAAACCCAGACACCUUCCCAAGGCUUAUGGUCUCAACACCUCCUGCCCACGCCCCCUCGAAGGUCCCACCUCCCGCCUUCCUCUCUGCUCCUGUGCUGCACCCACUCACGGUCCUCCUCUCCUGAGUUGGCCAGUGUUGUUCAUGUCUCAAGAUCUUUGCUCUUGUUUCUUCUGCUUGUGUUUCUCUUUAGAUUUUAAAAAAUUUGUUAUAUUAAAAAUGAAUUUAAUUUUUAGAAUAAUUUUAGACUUACUGAAAAGUUGCAAAAGUAGUACAGGGAGUUCCCAUCAACCCCACUUCCAGUUAUUUCCCUGGGUUUUCCUAUGAAUAUCCCCUCAGCAUCUAAGUCUCAUCUGUUCGGAGGCUUUCUCUCUCCAUGUCAGCUGAGUUAGGAGCCCACCUUCCUGCUUAUUUUGCUAUUGCAUUACCCCGUUAUGUCUUUUCAUAAAACUUUCCUCUAUCGAAAUUGUCUUUAUGUAUUUGUUUGUUCAGCGUCUCUCUCCCCUCAUCAGCUUGUGAGCUCCUUAAGGGCAGGGACUCAAAGCCAAGUGCACUGCAGUUCCCAGGGCCCAGGACAGUGGCUGGCACAUAGGAUGUUCUGACCUACUGACUGGCUUUCAGUCAGGGAAGUCUGGUCCAAGGCCUAAAGCCAUGAGUGGAGAGCCAAAAUGAGCAGCUCAUUUUCUUGACAUUCAUUCAAAUGCUCGACAUCAUUAAGCCCAGUCUAUGUCCAUAUCAGAUUGAAUUCUCAAUGGCAAUCAAAGAUAGGACUGCUUCUACAGAGGACCAGUCAGAAGUUAUUUGGGUAAACUGAUGGUGAGAGGACUUAGGCAAAAAAACUGGCUUUCCCAGAGUCACCCUAUGAGACCCGCAUCUUAGCCCCAUGUAUUGUUGCUCCUUUAUAUCUGAGAAUUCUCUCCAUCUCAGAGCUGUGCAUUGCGUUGAUGUGGGUGCUACCUUUAUUCGGUUGUGGAAAUAGGAUCUAAUUUGGGGCUUAUGUGAAUUGGAAUUGCAUUGGCUACUAGUAACAGACACCUGACACAGCAGCUUAAGUCAAGAAUUCUGGAAUUCACCUGUUGCUGUCUUCAGUGGUCCAGGAUGUUUGUGCCAGCUGGAGUCUCUGCCGUUCUCUUCCCCUUUUGUUAGCACUCCUGAUUUCUAGGCUUCCAGAAGGAAGGGCAGGAAGGCCAAAAGGGCUUACUGGAAAGCCCCACCAAUAACUACUGCCUCCAUUACGUUGGCUACCCCUCCUUGCCUUUUUAUCUCCUGUCAGUCCCCUAUGGACCAUGGGUUUUGGGUGAGGCCCAGGCAGCAUUAGGAAGUAUCUCUCUCUCUCUAUCUCUCGGGGUGUGUGUGUGUGUGUGUGUGUGUGUGUGUGUGUGUGUGUGUGUGUGUGUGUGUGUGUGCGCGCGCGCGCACAUUUUCAAUGUGGUCUCCUUUCUCCCUAGGCCCAGAGUGCCUGCUCUCAACCAAGUUUUGAGAGGUCGAGAAGUAUAAUUCCCCCUGCAGGGCACCUUGUCCAGGGUUCUGUUAUGCAGAGAUAAAGAGAGAAUAGACAUUGGGCAAUCCCUGCUGCAGGAACCAACAUGAGUGUUUAUUCCUGUCAGUUCUGCUACCUGAGAAAGUUAGGAGGAGACCAUGGGGAAUUUAAGCUUACAUCGGGGAUUAAAAAAAAAUAAAGGGGACUCUUCCAUUCCUUAUUUUUUUGUUCAUUUUGAACAGUACUAAACUCAAACUGUGCCACACCAAAAUGUGAUUUUGUGUAUGCAGGUGCAUGAGUUAGCAUUACAUGCUAAGCUUCAUUAACAGGGACCCUGAAAUCAAUUGUUUAAAAGAAGAUAAAAGCUGUCUCUGUCACUAAUGGAAGUAGACUGUGGUUCAGGGUGGGUAGUAUGUCUCCUCCACGAAACUGUCUAAGGAUGGGUUCCUUCUGUCUUGUAUCAUCUUCCCAUCGGGCAGGGGUUGGCAAAUUGCUGCCCUUGGGACAGAUUUGGCAUGUCUCCUGUUUUUGUACAGCCCGCAUACUAAGAAUAGCUUUUACAUUUUUAAAUGGUUGGAAAAAAUGUGAAAAUUAUUUGCAACUCAGAUUUCAUGUCCAUAAAUAAAGUUUUAUUGGAACACAGUCAUACUCCUUAUUUUCAUACCGUCUGUGACUGCUUUUGUGCUGCAAUGGCAGAGUUGAAUAAUUGUGAUAGAGCUGAUAGGGCCCACAAAGCCAAAAAUAUUCACUGUCUGGCUCUUUACAAAAGAACUUUGCCACCUUCUACUCUAGGCUGUGGUCCUGACUCAGUGCUUGAGGCCAGCCUCCUCUCACUUUGUCUGCUUAUCAGCCUGUGGGAAGAGGGACUUAGUGGGCACACCUAGCUGUGGGGGUGCUGAGGAGAUCAGUCUGCAGCUGGACAGCCAUUUGCCCAGCAGACACUCUGGAGGUUCUGCUAUUAAAAGGAAGGAGAGAGUGGAGAUUGAGUUACAUUGAGCAGACCACCACAGGGGAGGUGUGCAUGCACAUGUAUGUAUGCUUUCAGAAUCCACUGUGGUUGGUUGAAGGAUAUCGAAGGUCAUCUUAAUGGAUAUUGAAGACUGUCUUUAUUUAUACGUAGUAUGAAGUCAGGUAUAAACAAAUAUGGGAAAUGUAGCAUAUGAUGGAAGAGAAGGUAUUUAUCCGCCCUUUGAUUCAUGCAUUCAUUCAAUGACUGUCUCAUAAGAAUGAUUUCCCCCCUUGCUUGGUAGUGUUCUAGUUCUAGGAUCUGAAUUUAAAUUUCUAAGUUAGUGACGUACUCUUGCUUAUAGAGCAGUGGUCUCCAAGAGUGGUCUCUGGACAAGCAGCAGCAGUAUUUUCUGGAUUAUUGUAUUAGAUGUGCAGAUUCUCAACACUGUGUCCUCUUGCCCCACACCUACGAAAUCAGAAACUAUGGGGCUGAGACCCAGCAAUUUGUGUUUCAACAAAUUCCCAGGCAAUUUCAAUACACUCUUGGGAACCUCUGCUGUAGAAGAUGUAGCGUUAAUUCAUAACUAUAAUGAGCGAAUGGUCUUCUCUCUUCACUGAAUGAACAUUUUGUGCUUUCUGGGGAAUCAACAAACAUUUUCUCCACUUACCUAAACUUCUUAUCAAUAGUCUCUUGUACUCAGAAAAUGUACACAAGUCAAAAUAGACAAAUCAUAUUUUGGCUCCACAUUUAUUCUAGCAGACAGUGGCAGACUCUGCCAAAGCCACGAAGUGACUCCCCAUGCAAUUGGCCAGGUGACCACCACCACCACACAGAGCAAUCUCAGUCCUUGACUGAUUCCUCUGUGUGAAAAGGGGCCUCUACAGCCUUGACCCAGUGACUUUCAGAUUCUGAGGAAAACAGGCGCUUGAUGCCUGUCCAAAGUAAACAGAGCCAAGAGAACCUUUCACAAGCCUGGUUAAGGAUCGAUGGUUCCACCCAAAUGAUUUAGAUGAUUUGGUGUUUAAGUAUGUUGUUGCAUAACUCUUGGCAGCCAGAGAUACCAGUGUGCUGGAGUGAGUGGCAAUUUGGAUUGAAUGAAUACGGUAUCUAUCAAGGGUGUAUGUAUAUGUACAUACCAGCUACUGUGAUUUGGACAUUACCUACAUUAGCUCAUGUAACCUCAUAGACACCUUAUCAGGUAGGUACCCUUAUACCCUUAAGAUCAUUUUCCAGAUCAAAAAGCAGAGGCAUUGUGAGGUUAAUUUGCACAAGAUCAUCUUCCCAGGAAGAAGCAGGGUUAGAAUUUGGACCCAGGUAUUUGGUUCCUAUACUUCCCAUGUGCGUGUGCACACACACACACACACAUACAUUCUGUGCUGUCACAGCCUAGGUGUGGUUGUUUCUCUUGGUCUCUUCUGCAUGGGUCAUUUCUUGUAUGAUAAUUCUGAAUUUAGAUGGAGGUUGUAGUUGCUGAAUGGGCAUGGGUGGCCAGGCCCUCCAUACUGUGUUCAGUACCUUUGAUGAUUAACUCUGAAAGGGAAGAAAGGAUUACUUAGUGCAGGCCAGAGAGCUGUAAAAGGUUCCUAAAUUACUCAUUUCCCCUCUGAAUUUCUCCUCUUGCCUCGAAAACUAAAACACACUUUAUAGGGGAAGAAAGAAGACCGUAUAACUCUGUGGCAGCACAGUUUGGUAAUUAAUGGACUUGUGCCUGUAUCAGAAGAGUGAUGUAUUAUUCCAGAGCCCUGCAGAAUGAGUUAAACUGAGAGUGAAUUAUUUGGUUUGACUGAUGUGUACAGUAACUGAAGAUAGUUUAUUAGUGGGCCAGGUUUUAAUCUUCUCUCAAAAUGAGUUCUCCUCAUAUUCUGCACAACUGCCCAGUCUCUUUCAUGCCCUGAAAUUGAGUAAAAGGAGAAGGUGCUAAAAUGGUUGAAACAAGAAGUGAAACCUUCUGUUUCAUCAUAUGUUCCAGAAAAUAUACAGUGUAUUUUUACUGCAGCCUCCUUUCCAUCCCCCCUCCCAAUCAUUUUCAUUAGUGAUUGAUGUGAUUGCAGAGUGGUUUGGUGGGGAAAAGUACUUGCAACCAAAUUUAGUAAACCGCAAGCCAAUUUUAUUUUUAGUUGUAGUGAGCAAGGGCAGAUAGCAAUUGCAAAUAUCUUACUGUAUCUACUUCUAAGCUUUUACUUUUCUUUUUUUUUAAUGUUUUGCCUUUUUCUCUCCCUAGUAUGUUUUGUCUAUUUUGAAUAUAAUUGUUUUUAGGAGAAAAGGCCAUUUUUUCCUUCUAUCAUUGAGAGCCCCCCUUUUUUUUUCAAUAUUGUAGGCAUCAUCUUAGUAGGAAAUAGAAUGUAUUUAUAAUCAUUGAUGUUACAGAAAUUUUGAAACUGAGAAAUUAAGUACCAUAAUUAAUAAAAGGUAGGAAUAGGGAAUCAUAAAUAAUUAUUUAGUAUUAAUUGUCAGCAGCAGCCUAAGGUUGCUCAGUGAUAGAUUAAUAAGAUCAAGCAGAAAAAUAAAGGAUCCCAUUGGCCAGAGAAUGUGAGUGGAAUUCCUUUUUCACCUGUAUGGCACAAUGGUUGACAUUCAAGAGACAUUCAGUAAAUGUGGUUUGGUUAGUUGGUUGAUUGUUGAAUAAAUGUUUGAGUCCUGCACUCACUCCAGAACAUCAGACUAUUGGAUAUGAGGUUAAGUUUGACCAGAGGAUCUUGAAGAGGCUGUAUAAUGAUCAUAUCUUAAGUACUAGAAGAGUCAUUAGUGGUCUCAAACCCAUCUGCUCUACCCAUUGGAGACUUCUGUAGGGACCCUGACAGUGGCCCUCUGCCAUGCUUGAACAUUGUGAUCACUAAGGGCUUAUUUCACAUUAGCUUAUUUCAGGUCUAUGCUGUUGCUGGACAGCUUAGAUUGUGGGAUCAACUUGUGGGAUUGUAGCAAAAGCUCAUCUGCGCUUUGCAGAUUCUUCCUUAAAUAGUCAUAUAAGCCAGUUACCCUCAUGGGUAGGGAUGGGAGGGAGUCAGUCAAGGAGGACAGCAGUCCCCAAAACUUCGGGGAGGCUUUGUUAGGGGCCAUCUUCAUGUGUACCUCUUCAUCCCAUUAUGAAAGUACCCAGGGACUGAGAAUUCUUGGCAUUUCCCAGUGUUCUCCCUGGAUUUUUCAUAGUGAAGUUUUGAUAGGGACUUCUCUUAAGAGUCUCAUGAUAGUUGUUCCAAGGGGAGGGGGUAGAGGGGCAGGUAGAUGGAGGGCAGGAGAGGAUACAUGUUUUGCAAACAGUUCUGAGCUGCAGACAUCCCAAAGCAACCCUAAUAGAGGUAUGGAUUUCUGGGUAUGGUGAGUGGUAACCCCACCAUGGUCAUUGCCAGACCACAUCAAUUCUGAUUGUCAUAUUCAAUGAAAUAAGUCUCUGUAGAAAGGCUAUCAAGAAAUGAAGGCUCUGGAAGCCAUGAAUGAGGAAGAGAAGAGGGACUGGUAAUGCUUAGCUUGGUGAAGAGAACAUAGUUCCAGAUAUGAGGAGGGCUGUCAAGAAAGAGGGAAUAGGUUUGUUCAGUAUGGCUGCAGAGAGUGAGACAGUUAGAAUGGAGAUGGCUGUGGGAUAGGUUUGCCUCAGGUAGAAUUUCCUGGUAUCGUCAUCUAGAACUGAACAAUCCUUUUUUUGUUUUGUUUUGUUUUGGUCUUUGCCUUUUUAUUAUAGUUGGGAAAAAGCUGCAAUCUGGUUAUUAAUGAAAAUUUCCCCAAUAGAAGUUAGUCACUUUUUUGAAUAAUCAUAUUCUAAAUACAGACUUUAGGAAAAUAAAUUUAUAAAAUACAUUGUUGCUAAUUUUAUUUUUAGUGGAAAUGUGAUGCUUUUUAUCAUUCGCAAAGAGCCAGAUGCUUACAUUUCAUUAGUUUUAUUUCAGCAAACAUUUUCUGAGAGCCCACUUCCUGGCUGACAGUGUUAAGAACUGUAUGCUCCAAGAUGAGCAAACCAAGUAGUGUACCCUUGGAGAGUACUAGUGGUCCCACACUGCUCAUAGGGCCAUAGUGGAGGUGCUGAUUCGAGGGAGAAAUUAUAAUGAACUGGACACUGGUCUCUGGAAGUUGGAAAUUACCUAGACUGCUCAACAAACCUUUUACAUGAUUUAUAAAUUUUAAAAAUUCUCCCUAGAAACUAAGAAACUAUAUAAUACGGCUUUGUGAAAAUGCAACACCAAUUUACAGUUUUCAAAAACAUUUUAUCAUAAUAGUUAUGAAAAAGUUGUAAAAUUCAAAUGUAUUUCUGUGUAUCUGUAUUGGGUUAUCUCUGUAUCUUUCUUGUACUUUUUCCACUGCCAUUUUUUGCAGUGUCCCCUUUUCAAACCUCCUACCUUCUUCCUUUUCCUGUCCUGUAUCAAUAGACCUAGCUGAAUUUCGCCUCUGCAUAACUCAUUCUUCAAUCACUACUUUCUUAUCUGUAAUUCUUCAUUAUCUCGCCAUAUUUACUUACUAUUCUUGUAUUUCCUGAGUCGAAUUUUUAAUUUUUAUCUUUUUCUUUUACAAAGAAAUAGUAAGUCAGGAUUCAUUUGUUAUUACUUAUAUGGCCUUUGAUUUUUCUUUUCUGAGUCAAUGGGAGAUAGAAAAAACUAAUCCAAUGCCUGGCAUAGAUGAAACAUUGAGUAUUAGAAGAAAUGCAGUAGAGUUUGGGAGAGGAAAAGGUGUGCUCAGUAGCAUAGUGAGGUAACUGGGAGAUGGAGUGGGUCAGAGGGCCAGCUUACUUAUACCAGGGAUUAGAUUCAGGGUUUCAUGAGUAGUAAGUCAAGCCUUUUGAUUUAUUCCAAGUAUAGGACUUUUAGGUAUUCAGAUGAAUAUUUGUGAAGUUGUUGAAGAGAUGUAGCCAAAUGUGGGAAAAUCUUAUAGAGCAAAGUUUUAGCAACCCUGUCAUGACACCAUGAAACCCGAUUCAUUUCCUUUAAAAACCAUCUAUAUCAUUAGCUGACCUGUAGUAGUAGUUGUUGUUGUUGUUGUUUUAUAUAAGAGAACAUCUGAUUCAUCAACAGACCUAGCUAAAUUUCCUCUGCAUAGUGACAUAAUUAAGUCAAAUCGAAACUCUCACAUCAUCAUGUGAGGAUGAAACUACGUAAAGACAUGAAGCUGCUGGUUUGAUUUGGGAAAUCUAUAAAUAAAAUGCUAAUGAGAUAGAUAUACUAAAGUAGAAAGAAAAAUAAUUAAGUAUAUGUCAACAUGAGCCACAAUUCUUUUUUGUUUUUUCACUAGUAGAGUGAAUUGUGGCAAUUUAUGACAAUUGCAUAAUGCAGGUUUUUAAAAAACAUUAGUUUUGACUCAAACUUUUAAAAAUUAAAAGAUUUUAUCCUCUGUGUUUUUUUUUUUUUUGAGAUGGAAUUUCACUCUUUUUGUCCAGGCUGGAGUGCAAUGGUAUGAUCUCGGCUCACUGCAACCUCCGCCUCCCGGGUUCAAGCCUCAGCCUCCCAAGUAGCUGGGAUUACAGGCAUGCGCCACCAUGCCCGGCUAACUUUGUAUUUUUUUAGUAGAGACAGGGUUUCACCAUGUUGGUCAGGCUGGUCUCAAACUCCUGACCUCAAGUGAUCCAUCUGCCUUGGCCUCCCAAAGUGCUGGGAUUACAGGCAUGAGCCACCGUGCCUGGCCUCAUCCUUUUGUUUUUGAAAGUAUUGUAGAAAAUAUAGAAAAUAAAGGAAAACAUGAAAAUAAAUUAUAGUACAUUUAUAAGACAUAGAAAAGCAUUUUUAAAAUUCCCCCUCCAAGCCAGGUAUGGUGGCUUAUGCCUGUAAUCCCAGCACUUUGGGAGGCCAAGGCGGGCAGAUCACUUGUGGUCAGGAGUUUAAGACCAGCCUGGGCAACAUGGUGAAACCUUGUCUGUACUAAAAAUACAAAAAAUUAGCCGAGUGUGGUGGCAUGUGCCUGUAAUCCCAGCUGCUUGGGAGGCUGGGGCAGGAGAAUCACUUGAACCCGGGAGGUGGAGGUUGCAGUGAGCUGAGAUUGCACCACUGCACUCCAGCCUGGGCAACAGAGUGAAACUCCGUCACAUAAAAAAAAAAAAAAAAAAAAAUAUCGAAAAUCCCCCCUCCCAAGAGCUACUGCUGUUAACAUUUGGAUGCAUUUCCUUUCAGUCUUUAUUUACAUUAUUAAUUAUUAUGUAUAAUUUGUAUUGUGCUUUUCCAUUUGCCUUAUAACUUAAAACUUUUUCACUUCUAGUUACAAAUUCUUCAUGCAUGAAAUUUUUAAUGGCUUUACCUAUCGAAUGAACACAUUUUUAUCUAAAAUACUUGAUGACUAUACAUCACAUGCUGCCUGCAGACACUUAAAUGACUGGUGGAGUUUUGGACCUCAAGAGCCAGUCUCCUUCAGUUGUCAGGCCAUCAGCAUGGGCCUGGAGGCGAAGUGGCUUGUAGCAUGAGAAGCAGGUGGACACACAGGCUUCCCUUCAGACCCCACCUGAGUGCUUCCUAAUGUCUCCCCCGUGUGAGGCUUGGGCAAGUUGUGUGGCCUCUUAGGAGAGGAAGGCCCCUUCCUGUGCCCUGUAGUCAUCAUGCCCAAAUGUGCAGACCAGGGCUGGCCCCAUGACAAUGUUCCCACUGGUCCUCAAGCAAUGAGAAAAAAACAUAGACACGCUGUCAUGACUGUUUCCUCAAGUUAGAUAUGGGGGCAUUUGUGGCCUUUAUUCGAAGGUGAUGCCUGUUGAUGAAUGUGUGCACUAAACUGUUGUUUCUUUUACAAAAUGAAGAUAAUGAUAGUCAAUAUCUUUGUUUUCUGGACUCUUCCAUGGGCAUUACUUUUCUUUCAUGGCCUGCUUUGUGAAAUCCAAAAGUCUGGAAGCAACUCUUUUGCAGGCCAUCUGUGCCAAAUUAUUGGCAAUUCCCUGAGUCUUCCCAGCACAUCUUUGCUCACCCUGUUUCUACUUCCUUGAAUGCCCACCUUUGACAAGAUGACAGAUUCUGUCAAAACUCCCUGAAGCAGUACCCUGCCCCCCGAAGCUUUCUGGACCUGCCUCCCCACCGGGCAAGAUGAUCCUGUCCUCCUUAUAGUAACACUCAUUUCAGUUACUCAGUCCUCUGACUGCCUCCUCUGACUGCCUCCCCUAGAAAGUUCCUGAAGGAAAUGGAAUCCUCUUCAGAAAACCUAUCUUCAAAGAAGCCAGGUAAUGUUUGUCAGGGUGCUCCUGGCAAGGGAAUAGAGGAAGGUAAAACCUUCUUGCAGAUUACAUGGGCGCUCUGUUUGCUCUAGUGGUCACUGCUGAGGCUCCUGCCAGAAGGGACUUUCCAAUCAGCAUUGUGAGACUUUAUUUCAUCAGUGUGUUUAUUUCCUCAGGGGAAGAAAAUGUGGGGAAGACAAUGGAGUAAGAAAAUGGACAAUGGGAAGAAAAUGAGAUGACUGCUAAGUGAAUUAAUCAGUAAUUAUUUAGCCCAUUGCUAUAUCCCAUGUUUCAGCAGAUACAUUCGUUUUAGACAACUCUCACAUUUAAAGAUAAGUGACCUUUCCCCCCACUGAUUCAAAUUGAAGAUCAAUGUGUGCUUGUGUGGGAAUCUAGUUGAACCUGUGGGUUCAGGCUUUCCCAUUGCCUCUUUAUUUCUGUGCUUUUACCAACUGGAUGCACCUCCCUAUUUCUGACACUGAGAAGUUCACCGGUGAGGGAGGCAUGCCAAGGAGGACUUGCAAUAGCCCAAAAAGACAGGGCCUCAUAGAGCAGAGAGACUGGGGGUGGGGUGGGGACCUUUGAGUUUGACCCAGGCCUUUCUGCUUGCCUGCCUUUGCCUGCCUGUUUACAUUUUUGAUCUUCAGAGGGAAAAAAAUAGGUGAACUGUUGCCCUUUCUUUCUCCAUGGACGUCUUUCUUGACACUGGCGACAUACUUCUUUGGCACUUUUUCCAGUCUGAUAGGCAUUAAGAAAAAAAGAGGCUUUUCAUGCAUUUGUUGACAGAGCAAGAAAGGGGAUAUAGUUGUCUGGUUCAAUUGCUAAGAUAUGAGAAAUUGGGCUGCUUGAGGAGAGGAGGCUGUUUGCAGGCUCUGCAGCCCAGCCUAUGUGUGAAUGCUCCCUGGUAGCACAGGAAAGGUGGCCCACCAUCCUGAUUCCUUCACCAAAAAUGAUGGGGACAGCACGUAAUGCCAGGAGACAAAGAGUUAUUUUUGCUCUACUUGACUUUGGAUUGGGGGAAAGAUUUGAGUACCAUCUCUUCGUUAAUAUGAGAGCAGUAAAAUAGAUAAGUAAAGCCAACGUAAGUAGAAACCUCGCCUAUCCUUAAGGACUCCUCAGCUGCCCAUUUCUGACUACGUAAACCGCAAGGAGGUUUUCUUCCUCCAGACCCUGAGUUGCAUGUGUCAUUCACUCAGCAGUGAAUCAGUGAAUCCUGCCUCGUUCCUUUGUUGCUGUCUGAUUGUUUCAAGUGCAGUGAGUUUGUCUUCACAGCUAGUUCAUGAGCUUAUUGAGUGCAGCAACCAUGCAUUUUAAUUUAUUUCAUUAAAAAAGAUCUCUAACCUUAAGAAGGAACUUGGUAAAUGUGUUUCAAAUAAAUGAAUAGAUGGAUGGAUAAAUGAAUGAAUGAAUGCAACAGUUUCUUAGGCCUCACUCUGAUGAUAACAAGUCAAGUCAAGAAAUACUCAGAUAUGCCUUCUCAGUAGAUUAAAAGUCCAAAGACUAAACCGUAUGCUUAAAGAUAUUCUCUGGAGUCUAUUUACAAUAGCAAAUAAUUGGAAAUAUCCUAAGUGAGUAAUGAUGAGAGAGGAUUGGUUCAAUAAUGGGUACAUUCACUUGCUCUGCUAUGCGGCCUCUAAAAAAUUAUGGUGUGUAGCAAUCUAAAGAAACAUGUGGGCCAGGCACUGUGGCUGACGCCUAUAAUCUCAGCACUUUGGGAGGCCGAGGUGGAUGGAUCACCUGAGGUCAGGAGAUGGAGACCAGCCUGGCCAACAUGGUGAAACCCCGUCUCUACUAAAAAUACAAAAAUUAACUGGGUGUAGUGGUGCGUGCCUGUAAUCCCAGCUACUCGGGAAGCUGAGGCCGGAGAAUUGUUUGAACUCAGGAGGCGGAGGUUGCAGUGAGCUGAGAUCGUGCCACUGCACUCCAGCCUGGGCAACAGGGUGAGACUCUGUCUGAAAAAAAAAAAAGUAAGAAACAUGUGAUAAAGUGACAUACCACAUUAUAUAUAUAAUGCACAAAGAUCUGGGAAACCCAGUUGCAUGGGGAUAAAGGAAAGAAAGAAAUUUACCAAAAUGUAAAGAGUGGUUGUGCUAUGUUAAGAGUGAUUUCUUUUUCUUUUUCCUUUUUUUUGAGACAGGGUCUCACUUUGUCACUCAGGCUGGGGUGUAGUGGUGCAAUCAGUGCUCACUGCAGCCUCAAUCUCCCCAUGUUCAGGUGAUCCUUCCACCUCAGCCUCUCUCUCCACCCUCCCCCCAGCCCACUCCCAGGUAGCUGACACUACAGGUAUGUGUCAACACACCUGGCUAAUUUUUGUGUGUGUGUAUAUAUAUAUGUAUAUAUACUUUUUUUUUUUUGGUAGAGGUGGGGUUUUGCCAUGUUGCCCAGGCUGGUCUUGAGCUCCUGGGCUUAAGCUAUCCACCCGCCUUGGCCUCCCAAAGUGCUGGGAUUACAGGCAUGGCCCACUGUACCCAGCCAAGAGUGAUUUCUUUUCUCUAUUUUCCAGAUGUCUUGGAAGGUAGCUAAACUUUCAUAAUGUAAAAAAAAAAAAAAUUGUUUUUACUAGUAGAGGAAAAGUGAUCUGAAAGAAGUAUGUUAAGUGUGUACAGUUGCUGAAUCAGAAGGUGAGUACUUGGAUACUUAUUCUUUGGGCUUUUCUGUAUGAAGGAAAUAUUUUAUAAUUUUUUUAUAUAAAAAGAGAAAAUAGUACAGGUUGAGCAUCCCAGAUUGGAAAAUCUGAAAUCCAAAAUACUCUAAAAUUGGAUAUUUUUGGGUUGCUGAUGGGAUGCUCAAAGGAAAUGCUCAUUGGGACAUUUUGGAUUUUGGGUUUUCAGAUUAGGGAUGCUCAACCAGUAAGUAUAAUGCAAAUAUCCCAAACGCCAAAAAAAAUCAGAAUUCUGGGCCAGGUGCACUGGCUCAUGCCUGUAAUCUCAGCACUUUGGGAGGCCGAGGUGUGAGGUCAGGAGUUUGAACCAGCUUGACAAACAUGGUGAAACCCCGUCUCUACUAAAAAUGCAAAAAAUUAGCCAAGCGUAGUGGCGGGCGCCUGUAAUCCCAGCUACCUAGGAGGCUGAGGCAGAAGAAUUGUUUGAACCCAGGAGGCAGAGGUUGCAGUGAGCUGAGAUCACGCCAUUGCACUCUAGCCUGGGUGACAGAACGAGACUCUGUCUCAAAAAAAAAAAAACAAAACACCAAAACGAAACAAAAAAGCAAAAAACCAGAAUUCCAAAGUGCUCAGGUUUCAAGCAUUUUAGACAAAGGAAACUCAACCUGUAGUAGAUUAAAAGCAAGAACAUAGCAACAGUAUGACUAGUGUUAGUUAACAUUAUAGGAAGAAGAUCAGAACUUCUAUUUUUAAAUGACAAUACUCUGGGACCAUUUGGAAUAGGGAGACAAUUGUCUGCCAUCCCUGAGGACAACUCUAUUUAAGGGCUUAUCAUGCAGUCAGACUGUUGAUAAUGAUCACUCUGCGUCAUCAAGUAAACACUUGAUUAUAUUCAGUAGACUCUGUUUAAGAAGGCAUAGAAUUAGCACCUUUUAAUACUUAAUUAGUACUUACAGUACUUAAUAAGAUAAAUUUCAGUUAUCUGAAGAUUCACUCCUGUGUUACACCAGAACACCCUGAAUCUUGAAGUGCCGUGGGAUAGCUCAUGUCACCCUCACAGUGGGACAAGUUACAGAUCAUCUGGUAUAUCACUGUUCCCUAAAUGGAAAUACUUACUGAUCGAUCGAUCAAUGGGGAAACGGUUUUCCUUAAUUUAAUGUUGUUCUAAUCUUUUACAGUCAAGAGAUUUCUUCAAGAUGGCGGCCUGUCAUCUGCUGGCUUCUGCUCCUUAGUAUGGCUAGGCAUUUCCAACUCUUUGUUUAAAUUCUUGUUGGCUUGCCUAGCUUGACCCUCCUGACAGGUGCUAUUUUUGUACCUGGCCAAGUGGCCACAGCUGUGUUGACAUUUCUGCCAAAGACAAAAUCAAGGAAAGUCAAUAAAUAGUAUUUAGAAUAGUAGCAUGGGGCUUAUCUUAAGGCUUCUAGGAAGAGUAGAAAAUUGACAUGGAGAAAUGGAAUACUACUCAGCAAUAAAAAGGAACAAACUCCUCAUCCACGUAGCAACAUGCAUGACUCUCAAACCCAUCAUACUGAGUGAAAGAAGUCACACACAAAGGCUACGUACAGUUUGAUUUUACUUUAUGAAAUUCUAGAAAAGGCAAGACUAUAGGGACAGAAAACAGCAAAGUGGUUGCCAGGGUCCUGGAAUGGGGGAAGGAGAUUGUACGAAGAAGCACAAGGGAACGUUAUGGGGGUGCUGCAAAUGUUCUGUUUUUUUUUAUUGUGGUGGUGGUUACCCAACUGUAUGCAUUUGCCAGAACCCAUCAAACUACACACAUAAAAAUGGAUGACUCUGAUUUUAUAUAAAUUGUUUCUCAGUAGCUGUUAAGUGAUAUGGAAAGCUUCCAGUCACUUUCUGUGCUCUUUGAGGAUGGAUUGUUACCAAACCCUUCUCCCUAUUGUUAUUAUUUGUUGGAUGCCUACAAGAAACUAUGGUGCUAAAUAUUUUAAAAUGCUUCAUGUGGCGUUAGUUAGGGGUAAGAUUAAGUGGUUGAUGAUUAAGCUGCAGAGUCAGCAUAUAAUUUAUUCUUAUCUUUGGAUUUUCCUGGUCUCCAUUUCAGUAUGUGCUUAGGCGUGUUUUCGUAUUUACCUCCAGUAUUUUGGGAGGCAUGACCUCUUAGUAUCAUACCCUCAGUACCCGGAAAAGCAAAGAUUAUACAUGUGAACCUUGACUCACAGACUUUUUACUGCCCUGGACAUUUUAGUUACCUUUUCCUUUGUCCUUCUACUUGCUGGAAAUGUGGAUCCGGUUUAGAAGGGAUCAAGGAUGGGAGCUCUCUUGCUUUAUUUUUUUAAUUUUUCUAUCAGCCUAAAUCAUGCUUUGAUCUCUUGGUUUCUUUAUUCCUUGUUCAGUGAUGCAAACUCACUAUGACCUCUAUCAUUAGAUCUAGCAGUAUUGAAUGUGUUUGGAUAGUUCUGUGGAAAAUGAUUUUUAAAACAGAAGAGGAGAGUGAUCUCAUCUCCUAACUGUAAGUAAAAAGUAAAUUGAAAAAGUCCAACCAAAAUUAAUUUUAAGUUUCAUCAAAAUUUACAUUUUACUUUCCCUUCUUGGAAUAUGAGUAAUAAUACUGGAAGCCAAGUGCCAUUUUCCAGCAGAUUUACCUUUGAUUUAAAAAGGCUGAAAUCGGAAAAUUAGGAGUCUUUAUCCAUCUGUCCAUUUUCCUUUUUUAAAAAUUUAUUUUGGAGUCUCAUGUAUAAUAUAAAUGAGCAUAUUUGCUGCUAGAUGAUUAUACUGUGAUUAAACUGUGAUUAAAUAUAUUUAUUUUUGAUGUCAGCCUAUUGUGUGUUUGAUUUAAUUAUUUUUAAGUUAGGUUUUAUUUCCUUUUCUCUUUCCUCUCCAGCUGCUCUGUAAAGAGCCUGUACAGGCCCCUGGCAGUGAGCGAGCCCCAGCCUCCUGGUGACAGAGUGGUGUCACUGCUGAUUGGCAGGCAGGGCCUGAGACUCUGGAGCGAGACUGCUGCUCCCAUUGUUUCCUGCAAAUGUCUGCCUCUCAGGGCCUUGGAAACUGAUGACUGAAUAAUGCAGUGUAUACACACUGAGAACUUACAAUUCCAGACAGAACUGUCUGUUUCUCUUUCGAUGCAGUGUGCUGAGAAUAUGUGCAAAGCUUUGUGGGUCUCAUGCCUUCAACUCUUAUUUUCUCUUAUAUGUCAACCUUUUGGAGAUCAGCAGUAUCUUUAAUCUUAUUCCUAUUACUGGCUAAGGGCUAGGCAUUGAACUUGAAGCUGAUUUGCUGUGUGACCUUGGGUUUGAAUUCCCUUAUCUUAAAAUUGGGAGGAUAGCACUGUCUGCAGUGGAGAGAAUGUGGCUUAGAAAAUCUAAUUAGUGAUUAUAAAGCAAUUUGUAAACAUGCUACAAAUGCAGAACCUGUUCCUAGUUCUUUCCCUCCUCUUAACACCCCCACCCAGCAACUUUCAUUUUCAUGGGCUUAUUUGUUCAUUUAUUCCAUCAUUCAACAACGUUUUACGGAGCACCUUCUAGGCUCCAGGUACUAUUUUAGGUGGUGAGGAUUCAGCACUAAAUGAAAAUUGACUUUGAUCUGCUAGAGCUUACGUUUUAGGAGGAAAGACAGAUAAUAAAAUAAUAAACAUGACCUGGCUUACGGUAUAUAAGGAGGAGCUUAUAUGUAAGGAGAAAAUGAUAUUAUCCAUAAAAGGACCCUCUUUAAGACCUGCAUUCUGGCUGCAUUGAUGAAAAGAAUAUACCAUAAAUUCCUUUUAUGGAUAGUAUCAUUUUCUCUUCUACUUAAAGGAUCUGUCUAUAGCCCCAAAGACUGGGCGUAGGUCCAUCCGUCUCUUUGAUCAGAGGGACACUGUAGUAACUGCUAGAGGGUAGAAGAAACAGUUUUUCCGUUUAUUAAUUCCUUCCAUGAAUACUGAGCCUUCUAAACCUGGGACUGUAUAGUCAAUGGAACAUCAUCUCCAAAGGUUGUGUACCUGCAUGGAAUGGGAAGACAGGCACACCGGCCAGGAGCUAUAAUACAGUGUGAUGCUUUGUAUAAGGAGGGUGUAUAUGUUCAAGGUGUAGUGGUUGGAAGCAGUACUUGAGGGAGUCAGAGAAGGCUUCACCAGAGACAAAGGGCCAUAGAAAUUACUAUUUCUAUUCCAGCCUUUUAAAAUCAAAGUUAAAUUUGCUGGAACUUAAACUUGAAAGACAUGGAUGGGUUCUGAAGACACACAAGUAUCAGGAAGGGCUUCCUGAGCAGGGAACAGCACUACAAGGCUAGAGGCAUCACAGAGAAAGUCUGAUGACUUUUGGAAGUAGAAGUGUUUGAGUCAAUCUGCAGUGUAGAGAAGGAGAUGAGAGUUGUGGAAGGUGAGACUAGACCCAGAGGGUUGGACCUAAGCUUAAACAAAACUCUUCAUUCUCUCUCUCAGAGACUGCAGAGCAGUGUGGCCCAGUGACGAUCUCAGUAGCUGGUUGGAGGCAGGGUAGAGACUGAAAGCUCUCCUGACUCCCAGUACAAUGCUCUUUCUGCUCCAACACAAUGCCCAUACUUUCUAUCCCCAGAACACAGAAGAAGCUCUAGGCAGGGUUGACAGUGAAUUGGAUUGCAUCUGGUGUGGUUGUGCACGUUGUCACUGUGCAUGAAUGCCUGGGUUGGGGAAAGGGUGCUGAAAUCCAGCCUGCUCUCUGCUGGCCAUACCCUGCAUCUCAUGCUAGGUUGUUGUCCUACCCAGAAAUAGUGGUACCUCUUUUGAUGAAAGGGCCGCAUGGGCUAGCAGGGCCCUGGGUGGCCUGCUGAGACAUACUCUGGCUCCAAGGGACAGAUACAGUGAGCAACAUAAGUUCAACAGCAAGGCCUCCUAUACUUGAUGUCUUACUGAAGCGUCCUUUGUGCUGGGAGCUAAAAAUGGCAGGACAAAGGAAAGGUGCGCACAGUAGAAGGGCCUUGAGUAUUUGGGAAGUACUCAUGGAGUCACCUCCUCCGCUGCCUUUAGAACUUAUUUCUGACUCCUGGUGGUCAGUGCUCCCUAAGUAUUUUAAAGUGGAGGCUCCUCAGCGAGCCUCAGGGAGUAUGUUACUGCUCAACUGGCUCUGAAAGACUGAGUGUCACUGAGGGUUUAGAAAUGGUUCUCGAAGUGUGGUCCUCAGAGUACCUUUGUUGGAAUUGUUGCGUGUGCAUAUGUGUCUGUGGGUGGGGGGUGGUACAUACCAAAAAUCCUGGAUUCUGAACAUCACAUCAGAGUCUCUGAGGAUGAGGUCCAGGAAUUUCACUGAGCUCCCCAGAUGAUGUUUAUGGGCAGUAGCAUUUACGAAAUUCUGUUUUCAUGUCCUGUUUACAAAGAAGAGGGAAAAAAUGCUUGAACAUCAAGAAGGUAAUCCUAAUAUUUUUAAAUUAAUUUUAUUUCAUUUAAUCAUAUACCUUGAAAAUCAUUCCAUGUGAGUAGAAGUAGAACUGCCUCAUUGUUUCUAAUGACCGCCACAUAUUUUGCUCUGCAGAUGUAGUAUAAUUUAGCUAACUGGUAUUUUUCUGACUGUAGUCUUUUUUCUGACUGUAAACCCAAUAAGAGGUUGUAUAUUAAUAUUGACCAGUAACAAGUAUUAUUUUUAUAAUAAAAGAAAUUAGAAAAGAGUGUUUUGUGAAACUUUUUCAUUUUAAACGUGUAGGUAUACUGAUGAAGAUACUAGAAAUUAUUUCUUAUUGUGAUCUGUGGUCAAAACUCUGGAAGUCAUAGGUUAAGAGAACUAUAUGUAAAGUAUCUGUCAAGCACCUAACAUCAGAACCUUGCAUUUUCUUUCUCGGGGAGCAGUCACAGUAACUGCUGAACUUACUGUAUAUGAACACUUGUACUAAAAACCAGGAUUUCUUUUUCUUUUUUAGUUUAGUCUAUGCCUGAUACUAAUGAAGGCUUCCUGUUCUUAAGGCAUGUGUUAUUGAAGACAUCUAAUUUGAUCUUAGGGCCAUAAUACAAUCCUGUAAAAGCUGAAUUGACAGUCUUAUUGGAAUUAACUCAACAUAUUCUAACUGCACCUUUUUAACCAAGAAAACUGGCCUGGCUUGAGUAGCAUUGGCCUCUUACCAACACCUUACAGGAAUUUUCUGGCAUUCCAUGACUGUGUACCUAAAGAACUUAGGGCAAGUUCUCAGAAUCCACCUCUAUAGCUUAAAAAGCCGAGUCUUUGAAAAAUCCUUUCCUUAAACCUUCUGUUCUGGUUGUCAGGCUUUCCAUGUAGGAGGUGCUUGUUCAUUUUGUUUGUUAACUUCAACCUUCUAGAAGUCACAUGUCUCUGAGUUGUGUCUGUCUCGAUUUUCUAUUUCACAUUUGGCUUAGGAUUUCACUGUAACAGGAUACAGGGCUGUGGCUGCAUCUUUUGAGUCUAUGAAAUUUUGUUCUACUCCAAAUUAAAAGCUGGGAUAGCAUAACAUAACCAAGAGCUUACUAAACUAUAUGCUGUGAAUGAGUUUCACAUUGCCACCAGAUAUUCACAGCUGUAAAGUUCUUUCUGCAUUAAAACAUUGAACAUUUCCUACAACCAUUCAAAACAUUAUAACAGUUCAAAUUAUAUUUGAGCAUCACUUAUAUGGCUCCUUACGGAACUUAUGUAAAGUUCUUGAAGUCAGUGAUUUUAAGAAAUUGUGCUUGGAAUAUUUAUAAAAAUUCUUGCUAAGAUCUUUCCUAGUAUUUUAUUUCUCUUACCAUAACAAUGUGAUAUAAAGAAUAAAAAUAGAUUCUUCUCACCGGUUGCUGCAUAAAUGUUGUGAGGUUAUCUCUACUUUAAUUCAAUGUGUUGUACACAUAUUAUUAUUGACUCUAUGUGCUAUGAUGUGAAAAUGUUGGGAAGCACCAACAGAAUCCACGGGGGAGUGGACAGUAAAAUCUCCUGUAGAAUUUUUUAAGGGCGUACAUGUUCUCUCCCCACCCCGGAUCUACUGAGUCAGAAUCUCGGUGGGGUUUGGGGUGAGGGGUGGUAGGUGUUAUGUUUCCUAGACUGCAGUAAAAAUACUGUAGUGAGUAUUUCUGUCUGUUAGCCUUCCUCAUAUUUUGACACCUUGGUCACUUUAUUCUCUGCCUGUUUUCUGGGCUACUUAGAUUUGUGACUUUUGGCUGGGCGUGGUGGCUCAUGCCUGUAAUCCCAGCACUUUGGGAGGCCAAGGCAGGUGGAUCACCUGAGAUCGGGACUUCGAGACCAGCCUGGCCAACAUGGUAAAACCCCAUCUCUACUAAAAAUACAAAAAUUAGCUGGGUGUGGUAGUGGGCACCUGUAAUCCCAGCUACUGAGGAGGCUGAGGCAGGAGAAUUGCUGGAACCUGGGAGGUGAAGGUUGUGGUGAUCCAAGAUCACGCCACUGCACUCCAGCCUGGGUGACAGAGCGAAACUCCAUCUCAAAAAAAAAAAAAAAAAAAAGAUUUGUGACUUUCAACUUUUAUAGGAGCUGGAGACCUUGAAGGACUUACUUUGUCAGAGUAAGUACUUCUUUCUGCAACCUUUUCUAGUCUCCCUCCCCAACCUCCUUCUCUUUCCAGAAAGAACCAUGCCUUCUUCCCUGUUCCCCAAAUACGUAUACUCUAAACAUACCUCCACAUCACUUUAUCAUGUUUGUCCAUAGGGCUGUUACCUCCUACCCUGCUCUGAGUUCUUUAAGGGCAGGAUAUAGAUGUCUUCUUCAACCUUGUGUCCAAGGCCUAGUCGUUUAGUGGAUCCUCAGUAAAUAUGAUUAAAUGAAUGAAUUAUUGAGUGUAGGGAAACAGGAAAAGCAAAUCCUAAAUAUAUGGUUUCCUGGGACUACAAUAACUGUACCAUAAACUGAGUGGCUGAUACAGUAGGAAUUUAUUUUCUCCCACUUCUGGGGACUAGAAUUGUUGGCAUCAAGGUGUUGGCAGGGUUGUGCUCCCUCUAAAGGUGCUAGGGAAGGGUCGAUACCAGGUCCUUUUCCUAGCUUCUGGUAGUUUCUUGUCAGCAUAACUCCAGUCUUCAUAGGAAGUUCUCCUUGUGUGCAUGUCUGUCUGUGUGUCCACACGUUUCCUUUUUAUAGGGACACCAAUCGCAUUGGAUUAGAGGUCCAUCCUAAUGACUCAUCUUAACUAAUUAUAUCUGCAAUGACCCUUUUUCCAAAUGAAAUACAUUUUGAUGUACCAGGGGUUAGGACUUCAGUGGAUCAGCUCUGGGGGACACAGUUCACCUCAUGGCACUAACUGUUCCCUGGGCCUCUGGCUGAUGCACAGAAGAAGGAAUAUGCCCUUGCAAAGAGUUUCCUUUGGUGUUUCCAUGAAAAACUUGGCAGCUUCAUAGAUGGAGUGGGUUGAUGGCCCUUGAGGUCUUCAGGCACUGACAGGAGGAUACAAAAUCAGUGUUUUGUGACAAAAUCUAAACCAAGGUCACUACAGGCAGCCAGAAAAUUUGUCUCUGAUGGUGAAGCAAAACAACUAGUAGCAGGCCCCUGAUCUUCAGUGCUGGGCAGUGGGGCGGUGACUCAGUCCCUCCACUUCAGGUCUACCUUGACCUAAUUAAUUAGCCAGUUCACCAAGUCAUUCACAUUUAUGUGGUGGUACAGUUUCUAAACAACUGUCAUGUAUGUUAUCUCAUUUGAGCCUCCAGCCGCUCUGGGAGGUAGUCUGGGAGGUGCCUCUAUUUUAUAAAUAUGUAAACUGAGGGCAAAUCCAUACUCACAAGUGGUAAGUCUGGGGUCCGAGCCCAGGUCUUUGGACUCCUAAUUUAGUGCUCCAGCACUCGAUGUCUACAGUUUCCUUCCAGGACUGUCAGUCUUUGCAAAUGUAACACUCAGCAUAACAAGGAAAUCCAAAACCCUUUGGAGAAGAAGAAGGGUGGCAAAUAUUCUUCACAGAGCGAGUUAGGAUGAGAAGCCUACUAGGAUUUAGAAAUCAGAUUUCCUUUUUCUCUUUGAAAAGUGUCUUUAGUCUAAUCUUAAAAGCCUGUCAUGCCUGUCAAAAGAAGCUGGCAACAGGUGAACAGCGAAGCAUUCUGAGAAUGAGAAUAAAGGGUUUUUUAUUAGGGAAGGAAGGCAUAGCAACUUAAUAAUUACUGUUGAAAUAGUCAUAGCAAUGCUGAAGCUUCUCCAUAAUUUAAUCUAACUUAAUACUAACUGCCUCCUCCCUAGUGGCAAUACAUAAAUUAAUUAAUAGUAGGUUGGAUUUGAAGCUAUGUCUUUAUAUUUAGGCCAUUAUUAACUUGUUCUCUGUGCCUGUCUUACCUGGCUGGGUCUGUUCGUAGCUUCUGGCUCCUGCUUCCACUGUGACUUCUACCAGCAUCAGGCUUUUGAAAAUAUGUGCUUUUUAAAUCUGUGUUUAUUCCCUGCUGGUAAUAAAUACAUAAGCCCUGCAGAGAGUUUAUACCUGCUUGUUUCAUAGCAGGUAGUAGGUAUGGUUCUGGAACAUGGAUCUCUUUUCUUUAGUUUUUCUUGUGAGAAGCAUUGAACAGAGGAUAGUAAUUAAGACCAAGGGCUCUGAGUGAGAUUAUCUGGAAUUGAAUCCUGGCUCUGCCACUUACUUACCUACCGUGUGACUUGGGGCAAGGCACUUAACCUGCCUGUCCCUCAGUCUCCCCAUCAGGAAAAUGGGUAAUAAUUAAUUGUAUCUACCCAUAGGAUUGUCAUGACAAUUGAAUGAAUACACUGAAAGUUCUUGGAAGAGUGUCAGAUACCUUCUAAGUACCACUCACGUUGGUUCACACUAAUAAUGGAAUUCCUUUGGGCUCUCAGUUGCCAGAUGGUCUCAAAGGAUCGAAGUUGGCCAUCCUGAGUUUCUGGCUGCACGGCAGACACCAUUCCUGUGGUGACUAUUAAGAAACGGCAUCUGUGGAGAGGGGGAGGCAUCAUUCAGAAACCACUGCCAUCUAUAUCCCAGGGAUACGUAGAGGAAUUAUGCACAGUUCAUCCAAGAGCGCACCCUGUGGAGGCAGAAAAGGACUUGCAAGGCCUCUUGAGGCCUGUGAGAAAUGCUGUUAAGGAGACCUAGGUGGGGGAUUGGAAAAGGGCAUUCUGAUUUGCUAUGGAUUGCUUGUUCCAAAUAGAUUCCUUCCUUGUUUUGGAAUGCCGCAGGGUUGUGAAGGGUGACUAGCAGCAGGAGAGGGAGCUAUCAGCAUGAGAAGUUUGAUCACGAGGAAGAUGCUGUUGCUGAGCAGUUGACUGGUCUCCGUGCCUCUGGUCCACCCCUGCCCCUUACUUUUCACAGCUGUGAGAGUGGUAUUCUAAGACACAGAUUGAAUCAUGUUACUUCUCUACCUAGACCCUUUGUGUGUUGCUCCUUCCUGCCCUCAGAUGCUUACUGAGCCUCAGGGGCCAAACAGCACCGCAGUUCUCUGCAGGCUUUGGAGUGAGAGGUUCUGAGUCUCAGUCCCUACCCUACCAUGGUAACUGUUGAGCAACUUCACACAAGUCACUGCUUUCCAGUGCCCCAGCUGCCUCGGUAAGAUGGUAUCAGGAUGCCUAGCUUGUUGGGCUGUUGGGCAGGAAAGUGCACUUGCACAGGGUCUGGCACGGCAUAAGCAUUCAGCAUUGGCCAUUGCUAUUUUCUGGCCCUGCAGCCUCAUCUCCUGUGAGCCUCCUGUGUGAACACUCAUCCACCCUGCGGCCUGCAGGCUUGUCCACCCAUCCCACUCUGUGGGCUCCCUCAGGCCUUCUCCUUCAGGAAGCCUUCCUGGAAGUCCCUCGUCUUCCUCACCAUAGGCUGGGUCUAGACAUACCUUUGUCCCUGAACAAUUAGUACUUAGGUCAGAAUUGGGUCUCUUCAUGCAGUAUUUUAAUUCCUCCUCCUGUCUCUCUCCCUAACUAGACCACAAACUCCGUAAGGACAAAGACUCUGUUAUUCAUCUCUGAAAUUGUGGUGUGUGUUGAAAUGGUGAGUGUAUAGUGGGUGCUCACUAAAAAAUAGAUGGAUUUGAGCUGUCUAAUCAUACCACACAUUCAACUCAGUGCCGAAGGCAGCCCUGCACAGACCCACUUCCACCAAUGUGUUAUUUCUCUCUAGAUUCUGAGCACGCUGCUGUUUCUAGACUCAUCCUUGUUGGAGUGGUGCAGCCCAGAUCCCUAUAUGUGUCCAGGGAUUUCUGUCUUUUCCUUCUUGAGGGAGGUUGAAUUUUCCAUUUAUGAAAUCAGCAGGGCAGGAACUGGUUCAAUAUGGGAGAUAAGGGUAUUGGGUUAGAGUUAGAAAAACUGGUUUGGAAUCCCAGGCCUACCACUCAUUCUUAGCUGAACUACCUUAAUCAAGUAACUUAAACUCUGUGUCCCAGCUUCUUCACCUGUAAAAUAGGGAGAAUAGAGUGUGAGGGUUAUUUGAGAUAAUAAAUACCCAACGUUCAGCAGGGUGCCUGACACAGUGAGCAUUCAGUAAUUACUCCCUGCUGCGAUCAUGCUAGUUGUUGUUGUUGUAUUUUGGGCUUCCAUAGCAGCGUUGUAGAUUGGCAGUGCUAUCCAUACAUUUCAGAAGAAUGAAAUUAUUUCUUGAAGUGAAACAUGGAGAAUGGAAAAAGGUAUUUGUACAGUUGGCAAUCCCUGCAGCUUGCAGAAACUUCAUUACACAGAGUUGCUUAAAAUAAGAGAGCCAGUACAAUAGUACAAGACUCUAAUACAGGAAGAGGACCAGAGAUGAAUUGGUUGAUAAUCUCCAUCCACCUAGUUACAUAGAUACAAACAGAAUUUUAUGUUUAUACCACCUACUUAGCCAGAAUACCACCAGCUUGUUCAUAAGUAUUUUGUUCUUGGUGUUGCUGUAAAUGUCACUGCACCUCACCCUGAAAUGAGUUUUUAAGAGGUAUUUUAUGGUUCAUGCUCUUCACUAUUGAUCAGACUUAAAAAGUAAUUGCCUCUUUUGAAGCUUUCUUUUGCCCUUGAAAACAUCUCCUCCGUGUUCUUUCAAAACAGUGUUUCAAAAUGCCGUCCCCAGAUGUCCAUGUGUGGGGGGCGGUUAUCAGAUAAGAUUUGGCAGAAAGUCCUAAGUAAAGUUAUUUUGCUGUAAAUCCAGUCCAGUUCUUAUUAAAAUAGCCAAAGAACAUGUGGCUGUGAGCAUGUGGCAAGGUGCUGUUUGUUCUUAUAAGCAAUUAACUGACAUAAGAACAAUUGUAAAACUCGUAACAUGUAGCAACCCUUACAUAUUAAACAAUAUAUUUAGUGCUACGUGGUGAAAGCUCUGUCUCAUAUCUGCCUUUUAGUUAAUGUUUGUGGUAGCAACACAGCCUGCUUGUUAGGUAUCAAGCUGGUUGAGGAGAGAGGGCUCCUUAGUUUUGGGGAACACAAACUUUGGGAAUAGAACUGUCCAUGUUUACAUGUUCACAUUUAAUUUUCACUCAAACCUGUGUCUGUGUGUAUGCAAUGUAACCUGUGCAUGUUUGUAUUUCAAAUAGUCUAUAUUUCUCAAUUGUCAUUUAGGCUGCUACUAUAUAAGGAAAAUAUAGCUUCCCUACAAUCACCCAGUUAUCACUUAGGGAAAUUGCUACUGCAAACAGGAUAGGUCAUAGUUUGAGUCAUUUUAAGCAAUAGUGCAAGUAUAAUUUGUGCAUUCAUUUGGGGUCUGUUGAGCACGUGUAUACAUAAAGCACAAUUCUAGGCAUUCGGGAGGUAGCAGGAAUCAGAUGUGGAUUCCACUCCUCAAGGAGCUUAUAGUCCAAGCGAGAGAAUAUGUGUAUACAUAAAACCUUAAUACAAAAUAGAAGAUUAUAAAUGAUAGUGUAAAACAGUAUACUGUGGGAGUCACACACCUAUAUACACAUAUUUUUCAAUUCUCUCUUCUUAUAUCAUUUGGGUGUAAAAAAAAAAAUAAAUAUAUCACUUAGACUGGGUUCUAAUUGAUGGCCUGCAGGAACCAGGAUCCUGUUGUAUUUCUUCAGUAAAAGACAAAUAUUGGUAAAUUUAAAACAAUGAUAGAGGCUGGGCACAGUGGCUUGUGCCUGUAAUCCCAGCACUUUGGGAGGCUGAAGAGGGAGGAUCGUUUGAAGCCAAGAAUUCAAAACCAACCUGGGCAACAAAGUGAGAUCCAGUCUCUAUGAAAAAUUAAAAAAAAAAAAAAAAGCUAGGCAUGCUGGGUGUGCAUACCUAUAAUCCCAGCUACUCGGGAGGCUGAGUUGGGAGGAUCACUUGAGCCCUGGAGAUGGAGGCUGCAGUGAGCUGUGUUUGUGCCACUGCACUCCAGCCUGGGUGACAGAGCAAGACCCUGUCUCUCUCAAUCAAUCAUCAAAGAAACAAAUAUAUGUGGAGACCCAACUUGGGCUAUUAGAACUAUAAAUAUUUAGUUGGAGAUGAUUAUUGGCUAUGCCUUUGAAACUAUUCAUAAUAGAGAAAUUCCCAAAUUAAAAAAAGAAGUGUCCCAUAUAGUUACUGAAAAUCUUUUUUGAAUAGCCAACAUGCAUGGAGUGCUCAGUACCCACCAGGCGCUGUUCAAUGCACAGGGUUGACAGCAGCCAUCAAGAGAUGACACCCCUGCCUACAGGAAGUUUGGGUUGUAGUAUGGAAGACAGAUGCUAAGUGAAUAAAUAAAUAAACAAGAUAAUGUUUCUUAUAGGCCUAAGUGCUAAGAAGGAAAUAAGCAUGUAGUAAGACUGAUAUAGACAAGUCGUUAUGUAUGAGUUUUGUGGAGUGGCAGUGGGACAACAUUGGUUAGGGUCAGGGAAGGCCCAUCUGGAGAGGUGAAAUUUAUUGAGACCAGAGUGAUGUGAAGGACUCUCUGGAAGAAGACUGUUUCUCAGAGGAAGCAGCAAAGGCCUAAGGCAGGAGCAAGUUGACCUGUUAGAGGAACAGAAGGAAAACCCGUAUGGCUAGAACACUGAGUAAGGACCGUGGUGAGGUUGGUGGGGGAGCUGGUGUCCUGGGAGGCCAUGAUAAGGAAUUAUGACAGUGGAUAGGUUCCUAGGCUAGUGCACAAAAGACCAUUUAUCUCAAAUGGAAGCCCGGUUCUAGGUUUUUUUCCUUUUUAGUGAGACUAAGUUGAAUUCUGGGGCCUGGAAGCAAGUUGCUGCUAGGGAAAGAAGGAAGAAGAGAAAAGAACAUUUGUUUUCUUUCCUGGAUCCUCCUGGCAGAUCUUAAAAAGCACAAUUUAUGUCAUCAUCUCUUUUCAUCUAGAGACCUUUAUCUAAGCAGCUGAUAGGCUUAUGAUUCUUGGAUUUUCUUUCCCUGUUGUGAUACUGCUUCCUUGUCAUAUCCCUGUAGCACUCCAUUUUCUGAAUUUAAUUUUACCUUUCUUCCUCUUUUAAUCAUUCUCAGUCAAAACUCUCAUUCCUUCAGGGCAGCUGAUGGUAGCUGGUAGUAGGAAAGUAAAUCUGAUUCAUAAUGUGCAUAAUGGAUGUGGUCUGGUCCACUUAUCAAGUCAUUUGCAUUUUACAAAGGGUGUUUGUUAAGCCGAAUGAAUCUUCUGUUUUAGUGAACAAGAUGGUAAAAUAAAGAUGAGUAAUCUAUGUCAGAGGUUUGGAGGGUGAUCUUUUUUGGGAAGAGGUGAGCCAGCCUUGUUUGCUUGCCAGAGGUGGUUUGCUUCUGUGCUUAAAGCACAUCUGCUUUUACGGCUUCUUCCUUUCUUCCAUGCACAAAUUCUCUUGAAAGUUCCAUUUUUAUCCAUAAAGGUAUUUGUGUUGCUACUGCAGCAGCAGCAUGGAGUUCCAUAGUCAGGAGUACACAGUGUGAAGGCUCAGAGAUGGGUAGGGGUGGGGGGCAGUGGUGACAAUGUAUUUAUCAAUUGUUUGUAAAUUGAAUAUUUAUACAUUGAGAGCUAACUGUAUUUUGUUUGAAAAGUUUCACCUGCAGUUGGAGGAUCUGAAAGAUGUGAUUAUGGUUGACCUUUCUUCCAUGUCUAUGUUUAAUUUCCACUCUAUGUGUAUGCAUGUGGAUGCAGGGUAAUUCUGAAUAAUGCUAAUGAUGAAGGGUCAUCAUUACACAGAAGAUCAUUCUAUGCUCCUAAUUAAAAUUAUGGCUGGAAAUUGCUUCCUUAUGUGUAGCUCCAAUUGCCAUCGCAAUAAUUUCACUUUAUAACUUCUAUUUAAUCCUCUCCUUACCACCCUUAAGAAUCUUUCCAUGUCCUUGAAGUUGACUCCUUUGAAAUCUUUGCGGGCAGCCCUGGUUUCCCCUAAGCUAUGGGUAUCCUGAUACUUUGUUCCCACAAGUCUUUAAGCUUCUAAGUAAAACAGUCUUUGCUCCCUCUUCUCCCACUGCAUUUUUAAUGAGUUCUGGUUCUGGAACAUGAUUUAAUUUCAUGUUGUGGUCAAUAUUAUAAAUUAGCUGAGCCUUGCUGAUCCUCGUUCUCCCUAAUGAAUUCAUUGCUAACUGUCUUUUGGGCCAAGACUGCCAUGUAUGCUUACCCUAAUUAGUAUUCUCUGAUGGAAACCAAGUGACCAAUAGCUCACAUGUUUUCAAAAUGAGCACUUAUUGCAUUCCAUGUCAUCAGUUAUAGUAGGAAAAUUACAUGUAAUGAUAUUCUCCAUGGAAUUCCAAGUAGGAAAUGUUUUACCCGAGAAGCAUCUGAUCAUGAGGGUAGUAGGAUCAAAGAGUAUUUUUUUUUCAAAUCAAUAUUUUAUGUGGUCAGUCUUUGCCCAUAUAUUCCAGAGAGAUUGUUUAGUACAAUAAAUUUGAAGAUUUGUGCAUUGCAUUUUCCAUUCCUUUAAAUUUCAAGAAUCACUUCUAAAUAAUACAUCGAGUGAAGUGUUUUGUCAAUUUUCCCAUAGCAGAAGAAACUUUUGAGAACAAAUGCCCAUGGCAAAGUAACAGCCCAGUUUUCCAACCUAGAGCUUAGAAAAAUUAGGCAAUAUUUGACUCUCUGAGAGUGGUAGCAAAACUCUAUGCAAAUUGUAGGAUACUGCUCUGGGAUGAGCCCUGAAGAUAUGUGGUUAGUGUUGAGAAGUGCUUAUUUUGGUCAUUUGUUGGAUGAAUAACAGAAUGUUGAACAGAGCUUAGUCCAUAUAUUCAAAGGCAAGGUUGUAUCGACCAUGGACCAAAUGUCUGUUCAUUUUGUGAAAUACUUAUAGGAAAAAGAGAUAAUACCUAUAAUUUUAAGGAUUUUUUAAAGAUUCUAGUCAUCUAGUGCAUAUUGUGGUUUUAUUUAUGUAAGGAGAGAAGGCUCUGGUGAAAUAAAAAGUGUUUUGGAAAGGGAUUGAGAAUCUUCUGUUAUUUUCCCUAACACAGGGCAAUAGGGAGAAAGUUUAUUGUGUACAGUCAGGUAUACUCAUUUAGAUUUUUUUUUUUUUAAGUGAUAGAGAACACUGAUUUUAAGGGUCAUCUGUCUUUGUGAAUAUAUAAAUCACUGACAUGCAAUUCAAUCAUAUUGCAUUGAGGGUUCCCAGUCUUACUGAAACAAAUGAACAAUCUUUUGUCAAGGAUAAUUUGGCAUAGAAACUACUAAGGGAAGUUAGGGCAUCUUAAAAUUUUGUAUGUGAUUAAGUUAAAAGCUCCGGAAUCUCUGAUGUAAGGCCUGAGAAUCCUUUGUUUCUGAAAAGCUUACCAGGUAAUGGUGAUGAUAAGCUCAGUUUGGGACCAUGCCCGAUAAUUCUCAGAGAAUUAUUAUUCACAAAGAUUUUCCCAGAAUAUAUAACUUUUCAUGAUAGUAGUGAGGGAUCCAUGGGUCUGAUUCCAUUGUAAAGCAGUCGUCAGGCCAAAUAUUGAAAGAUUAAAUUAAUCUAUGUUCUUUGGCCCAACACACAUACAUUUGGUAUUCUAUCCAAUCUCUUGGGUUCAGGAAGUUGCGGAAUAUUGUGUGUGGGCAAUAGACUAAGGAAUGGUGAGCGAGCACCCUUUCGAGAGAGAGAGAAAUACCAGUUAGACUCCUGAUCACAUUGGAGUACCACUCGACAGUCUACAUAGAGCUUCAUGUUUUAUCCCAUGUGGCCUUCAGAAAACCCUGAGUAAAUUAGCACAGAUGCUGUUUAGUAGCAUCCAUGUUUUCCAGAUGAGGAAACUGAAACAUAGAAGCAUUAAGUGGCUUGCCUGCAUUCAUGUGACUACUGUGUUGAAGCUUUUACAAGCUUUCUGAUACCAAGCAGGCCUUGCAAGGGAGCGUGAAUGUAGGUUGUUACAUAAACUCACAUUCUUUGUGUCUCAUUUAUAAACAUGCAAGAAUUUAGCUCUCAGUUUAUGAUGAGUGCAUUCUGUGAAAUAUAUUUAUUUUUCAACCACUCCCUAGUUGAACAGAAUUAGUUUGUAGACUCUCAGGGCAGGUUAAAAAAACAUUUUUGUGGGGGGGAGGGUCCUCAGUUUUGUUUUUUUUUUUUUUUUUCCAGUAGAGUCUUUUGGCUCCCUUUGGAUUUCAUGAGAAAAACCUUUGUCUAAUACAUUUCAUUAAAGUGGAUACUUGUUGUAUGAAUAUAUUGUAGAUGUAUCCAGAGGCCUCCAGUAAUGUGCAUGCUUUCACUAAAAUGAGCUAAUGAGCUAGUAAAGAUUACUAAUAAACUCUGCGUCAAUACAAAACCAGUUUAAUAAAAACAGAUUUUUAGCAUACUUGUACAAGUGACAAAUAUUUGUAUUUAUGUGCUGGUUACAUAGAAUUUUAAUUCCUUGAUUUAAAAAAAAAUCAAUAGUUCAUGUUUAGGCAUUCUUUCACUUUAUAUCUUAAAGAAUUGAGGAGUGGUGGAAAGAUAUCGAUAGUGUUAUUAGAUGUAAAAAACACAUAACACAGUAACUGCAUAUACUCUGAUCCCACUAUUAAAAAAAAAUGUAUUUGGAAACAGCCAGCACAUUAUCUGGGAAAAUGUAAUGUACCAACUUAUCUCUGGAUGAUGUGAUUGUGGGUAUUUUAUACUUUCUCCCUUUUGUUUUUCUUUCUUUUCUUUUUUAAAUUUUUUAUAAUGAACAUGUAUAACUUUUAUUAAAAGAAAAAAUUACUUAUUAAAAACUUACUUUAAUGAGAGACAUACAGACUUUUUCUCAGCUGCUUUAGUAAACACCCAUGGGAAAAGGAACUUGUAGUUCUUUUGGUAUAGCAUUGCUUUGUUUCCCUAAGUUAAAAAGCCCUCUCUCUUAUGCCAUAUUAAUACCCCUUGAAAACUGGAAAAGUUACCAUGUAGAUAAGUUAAACACAAAUCCCUGUAUGAAAAUCACCUGGGCAGAUUCUUGGACCCCCCCCAAAAAGGCAGAUUCUUGGGCCCCAGUUCACACCAAAUGAAUCAAAAAUGUUCGGGCCCCAGAAAUCUCCAUUCUUAUUAGGCAUCACAAGUGAUUCUGAUGUGCAGUUACAUUUGAGAGUCAUCCUUCUGCUUGUAGAUUUCUCCAUGUGUAGCUGUCUUAUAAUGUUAAAGUAUCUUCUAGGCUCUUUUUUCAUCUUCAGAGUUUUUAAGUAACCAUACAGCUGCAUAAUAUCCAUUUUGUUGUCAGGAACACUAAGAGAUUAUAUGAUUCUCUCUAAAAUAUGAGAGGUAGAGGGAGUUUGGGGGGUAUUCACAGAGGGUCUUCUUGUAUGACUAAGACCCUCUGUCCAAUGCUAGGGAGCUCCUGCUGUUUAGGAUGGAGACCUGACAGCUGGCCAUGAAGGGUCAAGGAAAAGAGUCUUGCAUAAAAACAGAGAACCCAGUGAUUCUCAGAGCUACUCUCAGAAGGCUACCCCAAACUUAAGUUUCCUAAAGAAUAACUCACUUUUUUCUUUUUACUUCUCUCCCAGUCAGAACAAUGGGUUAUCUUAAGAAAUCACUAAAUCAGCAUCUUGUGUUCUGAGUAGUACAUUCUUUUGAAGAAGUCAUUAUGUGAAAGAAUUCACACCAUGAAUGUGCUUAUUUUGAAUGUGUGCCAUCAUGCAGGAGGUACAGUGCAGCUAUCCUUGGUUUCCUGUUGAUUGAAAUAAUUUGCAGCAAGUCAGUGCUAAGUAUAAACUCAGCAAAUAUGAAGUCAGUGCUAAGUAUAAACUCAGCAAGACACACCUUCUUGCUGAAUUGGCCUGGAAUGUUAGUUCUGAAAUAUACUGUGCAUCAGAAGCUUCUGGAGGGCUUAUUAAUUAAUGCACAGGUUGCUGGGGCCACUGCCAGAUUUCUAAUUCAUUAGGUCUGGGGCCGGGCCUGUGAAUAUGCAUUUCUUUAUUUAUUGUUAUUUUUUUUUUUAGACGGACUCUGUUGCCCAGGCUGGAGUGCAGUGGCACGACCUCAGCUCACUGCAACCUCUGCCUCCCAGGUUCAAGCGAUUCUUCUCCCUCAGCCUCCCAAGUAGCUGGGACUACCUGUGCGUGCCACCACACCUGGCUAAUUUUUGUAUUUUUAGUAGAGACAGGGUUUCACCAUAUUGGCCAGGCUGGUCUCAAACUCCUGACCUUGUGAUCCACCUGCCUCGGCCUUCCAAAGUGCUGGGAUUACAGGCAUGAAGCACUGCGCCCAGUCGAAUAUGCAUUUCUAGUAAGUUCUCAGGUGUUGCAUCAGCUGCUACUCUAGGGACCAGACUUUGGGAACCACUGACCUAGAAGAUACAUCUCAGUAACCAGGACUAUGAUCACAUCUACAACCUGAUUCUUAACUCACAAUUUAAUAUGGCCUCCUGGAACUUUGAGUAGAUGCUACUAAGAGAGGAUAUCUCUUUUUUGUAAUUGAGUGGUAGGCCACCGAAAUGGUUUGGCUGCGUCCCCACCCAAAUCUCAUCUUGAAUUGUAGUUCCCAUAAUCCCCAUGUGUUGUGGGAAGGGCCUGGUGGGAGGUGAUUGAAUCAUGAGGGCACUUCUCAUGAAUCAUGAGAACACCCGCCAUACUGCUGUUCUCAUGAUAGUGAGCAAGUUCUCAUGAAAUCUGAUGGUUUUAUAAGAGGCUUUUCCCCCUUUUGCUCGGCACUUCUCCUUGCUAUUGCCAUGCAAAGAAGGAUGCAUUUGCUUUCCCUUCUGCCAUGAUUGUAAGUUUCCUGAGGCCUCCCCAGCCAUGCUGAACUGUGAAUCAAUUAAACCUCUUUCCUUUAUAAAUUACCCAGUCUUGGGGAUGUCUUUAUUAGCAGUGUGAGAAUGGACUAAUACAGCCACAUUUUCCCUUUUUUUGACAUUUAUCUCUGCUUUUCAUGAAAUAAAACUUUUUGGCACUUUUUUUUUCUUUUAGACCUCCCUGGUGAAAUGAGGUGCCAGUGGUGUUUCUCUCUAAGGGUUAACAUGAAUUAAGGCAAGCCUGGUGAAGGUUUGUGUUUUCCAGUCAGGCAUCACAACUCCCCUUGCAUACCUUGACAUUGUCACCAUUCCCAAUGCAGGUCCAUGCUAGGCCUCUUGAUAAACGAGGUUCCAUCCCACUUCCACAGCUUCCUCUGGCAUCUGUAUCCCCACCCUGACAUGGGUUAUACCUAAGGUUACACAUGUUUCUCUGAAGGGCAUUCGCAUUUAAUAGUAACCCUUAAAUACUUCAAAGACUGAAGGCAUGACUUCUAAGGCUAUAAUGAGAUGCUCUGCAGGAAGGGUCUGUCCAUUUUCCCUUGCCCCAGUACUCUUAAGGUUAGCCUUAGGAUCCUUCACCUAGUAUGCAGCUGUCAGGAGACUGUCAAUUCUAAUGAAAAGCAAGCUUCAGAACUUUCUGGAAUAUAUGUCCUGUUGACCACUGCCUGGGAUAUCCCAGAGCCUUGAUUGAGUGUCUGGAACAAACUGUUCAUUGAGAGAUGGGGCUUUGGCCAGAAAAGCCAUUCACUGUUUUCUAGAGGAGAUCAGUUUAAGAAUGUACUUUCCACUGGCAUGGAAGCUUUUUGGGGGUGGGGUAGGGUUGGAAAGGGACUGGGCCUUGACCUGGAAAGGAGAUGACCUUUAGGGUUCCGUGGACUCACUCUCUCUUCUCUUCCUCUCUCCUCCCUUCUUGUUUUCACUCCUCCCCUCCCCUUCCUUUCCCUCUCCUCUUCCUCACAUGGCAGACUUUUGCUCCUGCACUGUACCCUGAGGUGGCUCUAGAGACACUUGUGUCCCUGAAACACCAUAAGGUGGGGAAUGGGGAGUACAGUCUUGUUGGAAGAUGGUUUAGGAGCUUAUCUCAAAGUUGCUCCUCUUGCAUCAUCAGCGCUCCCCUUCCUGUUCUGCGUCACACUCAGGGCCUCUGGUCUCUGUGCUGUUCCAAGGUCAUUCCUGCCUCUGAGUGAGACUCGCUUCCCCCCACCUUGCCUGGCUUGCUCCUUUUCCUUUAGGUCUGUGCAGAAGGUAUCCUCCCUCCAAAAGACCUUAUCCAAAGUGGUCCCCCAGCCAUGCCCAUCCCCCUCUCCUCAUUAAGCUACUUUUUUCUUCCUAGCUCUUAACACUACCCGAAAUUAUUGUUUCUAAGUUUAUUUGUGUAUUUGUCUCUCCCCUGAACUACUAGGGGUGAGAGUAGGAACUUUUUCUAAUUCACUUCUGUGUCUCCAGCUCCCUAAGAUCAUUGCCUGGCAAAUAGUAACUGUGCAAUAAAUAUUUGUUGCAUGAGAGUGAAAGUGAGGCAAGCACAUUGCUUUUGUCUGGAGUAGUGUGUUACUAGGGUAGCUUUGGGGGAUGAUGGAGAUUAUGAAGGGGCUACAUCCUUCCCAUCCCUAACCCCUUCCUGAUGCCUCCAUUUACUGGAAUAUGCUACACUUGAACCAUAGGAUAAGGCCAGGGUAUAGCUGAGGAAGGCUGCCUUAUUUGGCAGUCUUGUAGGGAAUUUGUUUGCUUGGAUCCCAUUCCGGUGGAGUCACCCAAAGGUCUUGUUCCAUCUGAAAAACUACACUUGAGACCAACCUUGGUCUUGGGUUGGCAAGGCCCUUGCAUCAGCUGAUGGAAUUCUAAGCUGAAAACAUCAUCUGUCUCUAUCAUUUAGCACUGAUGAGAAACCAGUGUUUGAGAAAUCACAAGGCCCAGCAAUCUCAUUUUUUAGUCAUCUGUCAUGCUUGCACUGAGUGAGGGUGGUGGUGAGGUGGGACAGGGAGGACAGGUACAGGAAAAUGCCAGACAAGAUGGGCAACCCUGGCAGCUUGCAGUCCUUCCAAGGGAAUAUCCUCAACUCUAGUGCUUUGAACACCAGAAUGAUGUUAAUCAGGGGAUUUUUUGUAUCAGCAUUGUCAACAUUUACAUUCACUUUACACAUUGGAUUUGCAUCUGAAAAGACCAGCUAUAAUCAACAUUUAAGGGAUAACACUCAAAUUUGCAUCUGAUUGAACAGACAUGUUAAGUAAUUUUAGCCCCGCUGUUGCUAGGAAACCAAUUAAUAAUGCUCCACAUUUCAUUAAAAACCGGUUUCUAUCUUUGCUUUCAUUUAACUUCACAAUUCAGCUGCUUGUGCUGCACUUUUUCCCCCUCGGUAAAUUGUGACAGAUAAAUUAUCGUUUUACUACAUUUAUUUCUGUGAUUACAAUUGUUAGUCAUAUCUGUCAAUACAAUUUCAAAGCUUUUAAAAAAUGCUUUAGGGGGGAAAACUGAAUUUUAACUGUUAAUCAUUUUUUUCCCUUUAUAGCUUAUUGGGUCUUAAAUAAUAUUUUUGUGAAGGCCUUCCAAAUUGUGGGUUAACAAAAAAAAAAAAAGCAAUCUUCCCUGUUCCAUAAUUGCACCUUCUCAGUGUGGUGACUAAUAAUUAGAAUAUUAGGCACUAUUCAGAAAGUGACAGACAGCUGAUUAAGCAUUCAGCUGCAUUUUAUUUUUCUCCGCUUUCCAUGGUUUGUAGGCUAGAUCAGGUUCUGUCCUUUAUGCAGUGCAAUUAAAAUUUUUAUGACUUUAUUUUACAUAAUAGACCCUGCUUUUAUAAAGAGAAAGUAUAUUUUUUAGCUACUGUAAUGCCCCUUUGAGCCAGUCAACUGGGUAGUUGCAUUUAAACAGUAAUGACAUUGUACAGUUUAGCAUUUUGUAGUAUUGAUCUGAUCAAAAUGGUCAUUAAAAAGCAAAAUUAGUUCCUAUUCACAUCUGUUCCACAGCAUUUCAGUCACUUUAUUUAAAUGUGUCUGGUUCUUCAACUUAGUUAGAAUGGUGAUCUCCCCCCUUUUCUAAGGGCUAAGAAAAGCAAAAUGGAAUCUGCUUUCAUAUUUUAUACUCCACUUUGAUCUUUUGAACUGAAGGUAAAGUGCAAAGGACAUGGACUUUGGAAGCACAUGGCCCUGCAGUCAAGUUCUGGCUCAGCCCCCUCUGUGGCUUUGAGCCUCAGUGUCCUUAUUGGUCAAAUGAAGAUGAAAGGACGGCACUGGGGAGAAGAUGACACCCAGGAUGGUGAAGAGUGGGUUGGGCAGCAGAUACUUGGAACCUCUUCCUUCCCUUUCUCUCGAGAACCGCUUGGGCUGCCACAGCACACAAUAUCACAGGCCAGUUGAUGUUAAGGGUAGAAAUGUAUUUUUCUCACAGCUUUGGACACUAUAAGUCCAGGAGCAAGGUGCUGACAGGGUUGGUCUCCUCUGAGGCCUCUCUGCGUGGCUUGCAGAUGGCCGCCCCCUCGCUGUGUCCUCACGGGGUCUUUCCUCUGUGCAGGCACACUCCUGGGGUCUCUCUGUGUGUCCUGCUCUCCUCUUAUUAAUCAGAUUGGAUUAGGGCCCACCUUAAUGGUCUCAUUUUAACUUAAUUUCCUUUUUAAAGGCCCUGUCUCCAAAUAGUUACUUUCCGAGGCACUGGGGGUUAAGACUUUAAUAUUUGAAUUUUGGAAGGACACAAGUCAGCCCCAAACAGGGACUGACCGAGAUGCUGCAUGUGGCACGUUGCGUCUCCUGUUCACUCAGUUUUGUUCUUUCUCAGCAGUCAAAACAGCUGAAACAUCAACAGAAGAGCCAGGAAAUGGGGUUUCUUGGUUGUGACAUUUCUGUUUAGGUUAGAAUUGAUCAGAAACAGUAAUAUUACCUGCCCCCUUGAUUUUUGGUUAGUAUUUCUACCUUUUUGGAUCUGUUCUAUGGCCACUUUUUCCUGACCUUAGUAAGAGUCAUCAAUCCCAGGAUUUUAAGACGCUUAUUUCCACCUUCCAUCAUUGCUAUAGAUGUGUAUGUACAAGGUACAGGUGAUAGGGAUACAUGUCCAUUUCCAUUUUUAAAUGAAUUCUGGGAAAGUGUGUGCCUCUUGACGUGGCUGGCAGGGGCCAGGCUUUGUGGCCAGCACACAAUGGGCAUUUAGAAUAUAAUGACACAGACACUAUAGAGAAGGUCAUUCGUUCAUUCAGCUAAUCUUUUCUGAGUGCCUACUAUGUGCUACUGUGCUGGUCACUGGGGUUGCAAUGAUAGACAAAAAUAGUCAUGGUCCCUACUCUUAACGGAGCUUACAGUCUAGUGGGGAAAUAGACUUUAAUCAGGUCAUAUCACAGUUCUACCAGUACAGCUCUGAUAAGUGCAGGAAAGGAAAGGCAUGGGCUGCUGUGAGGGUGAAUAAUGUUGAGGGGUUAAGGAAGGCUUUGCUGGUUGAACUGAGAUCUGAAGAAGAUGAGACUUACUUCGAUGAAGGGGUGAGUGGUAGGGAUUGAGGUGCUGGGGGUGGUCAUGAUUCGGAAUACAGGGAGGAACAUUUCUCAAGAGCAAACUGCAUGUGCACAGGCCCUGAGACAGAAAGCAACUUAACAUGGAAGCAAUGAAGAAAAGGGCAGUGUGGCUAGAGGAGAGAGGGAGGAUGGGGCAUGCAGGGUGACGUAGCUGGAAAGUCUCCUGGGAAGGCUGGGGGAGUUGGAAAAAACUUCCCAGGGAGGUGACAUCUUUGUCUUUAAGGAUAAAUAGAACUGAUUGCUGCUGGUAGAGAAGAGGGAGAGGCAUCUUUAGAUAGGAUAUCAGCAUCUUGGUGUGUUCAGGAAAUAAUGAGAGUUUCAUCGAGGCUGAAAUGUCACUUAUGUGAAGGAACCAUCAUUCCAGUUAAUGGAAUUUUAUACUUCUCUGCGUUCUAGCUAACUAGAGGCUCACUAGAUUUUCCAAAUUGGGAUGUAUCUCCCUAUAACUAUGGAGGGGCUCAUUACAUAGAGAAUGAAUGAAUGAACACAUGAGUGCUGCGUCCCUGCUUGAGUGGUGUUGGUUGGUGUUCCGGGAUUGCCCUAACCUUACAAACAAUGAUACGUUAAUAUUUCAUCUGUUCAGGUCUGGUGGAUUGAUGGAAGGCAGGCCGCAUUGACAUCUCAGGCCCAGCUGGUUCCUCAGCCACUGUUUUCUCCUCCUUCACAGAUCUGGGCCUGGAGAAUCCCUUAAAUCCUGCUUGGUGCCCCAGCCUCACCCUAGUUGCUUGAACCAAUUUCAACUCAAGCCAGGAGGCGCCCAAAAGAGCUCCAGCCCUGUGGUCUGGGUCAGCAGUUACUGUUAGGCUGACCUGGGUCAUGGUGGCUGGGUUCUGGAAAACAAGGUUCAGAUGUUCACAUAAGCUGAGCUACAGAGCAUGUUCCAGACAUGGUAGGAGCCUGGAUUGGGUGGAAGAUGCCCGUCCUAUUUGCAGGGGAGGAAGGGGAGGAAAAACUGAAACAUGAGUUUGGGAGCGCAUUAGAGAAGACUCUGGCAGCUGUAUCACUGAUGGCAGGACUUGUAUGUAUUUGGUUUUGGCUCAGACAUGAAUUCUUACUUCUUUCCCCCAAGAAACUAAAAUCAGAUAGAAGAUUUAAAAUUGGAGCUUAGAAUGGUAUGUUUCUCCUGCUUUUAACAAUUCAUUUAAACAGAAAUAAACAAGGCCACUUGCUGGCUGCUGCUAGGUAGAAAGUCUCUAUACUUCAAAGAUUUUCAUAAAUGCAAGGAAUAUUCUUUGAUCUUGAAAACUUUUCUUUUUAUGUGAACAUUGGCACCAAACUAUCCUCUAGGUGUGAUGGCAGCUUGGGAGAGAACUUUUGUCAGCUUCCAAGAUUAUGGGAUUCGGCUAAACCAAAAGACUGGGACAUUGAAGGAUGAUUAUAAACUGCGGGUGCAGAUUUAUUGUGAAUAAUGGGAAAGCUGUGUAAAACAACACCUGAAGGGUGUCUAACUUGGUCAACAUGGACUUCAUAAUCUAUGCCCAAUUAAGUGCUAUCACUUUUUCUAGGCCCCACAGAGAAAUGUACAAACAUAUGAGACAUUCUUAUCUACAUUGGUCACGUGUAUGCAACUAUGCCUCUGUUAAAUUUGACUUUCACUAUUAGGGGAUCCAGGAAACAGUAUUGAGCACCAGUUGUCAUUUCAGUGAGCACAGGGGUGGGAUGAAAAUAGGAUCACACAUUUCCCCCUUGAGUGUCAUACGAAUAGUGGAGAGGAAAUCACAUGGAUACAGAAAUGGAGCUCGUGUUAAAAAUCUUAUAGCAGGAUAUACCAUGCUACAUCUCACAGCUUUAUAGAUGAUUCCUGGACUCUACCAGCCUGUUUCAAAUUGAAUGUCUCAUAUGAUUACUCUUACUUUGCGCUUGUAAAUCCUUUUAAUUGUAGUCCCAUUCUACCUCUAGCUGAGGGUAACAGCUAUCUCCCUUAGAGAGCUCUCUAGCUUCCAGCAGGGGCAUCUCACUGGCCAGAGGGGAAGGUAAAGCAUUGAUAUGGCACAAUAAGGGAACCUCCGGAUUUUUUUUUCCUUUUCUUUUUCUUUCUUUUUUUUUUUUUUUUUCGAGACAGUCUCCCUCUGUUGUGCGGUAGUGCGAUCUCGGCUCACUGCAAUUUCUGCCUCCCAGAUUCAAAGGGUUCUUCAGCCUCAGCCUCCUGAGUAGCUGAGAUUACAGGCAUGUGCCACCAUGCUUGGCUAAUAUUUGUAUUUUUAGUGGAGAUGGGGUUUAGCCAUGUUGGCCAGGCUGGUCUUGAACUCCUGACCUCAGGUGAUCCACCCGCCUUGGCCUCCCAAAGUGCUGGGAUUACAGGUGUGAGCCACCAUGCCCAGUGGAACCCCUGGAUUUCAAGGCGUGGGGGUAAUAUCUGGGCCUAGGGUAAGAUUCUGGUAAGUAUCUGGGCUUAGGGUUUAGUUUAUUAGCAUUGUCUAGGUCCCAAGCAAAUGCACGGAGUGGAGGAUUGAAAAGAGAGUAGCAGGGUAGAGCUGAGCAAAUCUCCCACUUGGGGUGGCUUCCCAGCUUAGUUAGGCCUCAUGUGGGGAGAAGCUCCAAAUAAUUCAUCAGACAGCUUGAGAGUCCCUGCAUGAAUUCCAGAGUUAAAUGAAAAUCCCAGCUACUCGGGAGGCUGAGGCAGGAGAAUCACUUGAACCCGGGAGGUGGAGGUUGUGGUGAGCCAAGAUCGCGCCAUUGCACUCCAGCCUGGCAAAAGAGUGAGACUCUGUCUCAAAAAAAAAAAAAAAAAAAGAACUGUGUGUGGCUAGUGGUUCAGACAUCUUCCUUCCUCUACCCCUAGGGACAAAGGGAAGGAUGCCUGCUAGACUUCCUUCAUAUUUCUAUUCACUUCUUUUUAGCAUUUGAUAUUACAAUUUAGCUUCUCUGUGUCUCAGAUUCCUCAAGCAAUAAUAUGGGUUUGAUGAACAAGGGUCAGAAGUUUCCUUUGGCUGUAGUGUUCAGUGAUCAUGGCGUUCUAGGGAGUGCAAAGAAGAGAAUAAGCAUCCAAUCCUCUAAGACCUUUACUCUAAUUAGGGAGUUUCAUUAAACCCCUGAAAAGCUUAAUAAAAAAAAAAACACCAAACAAAUGAAAACCAUAAGUACUUUUACAAGACAAGAUAAGCGCUGUUGCAAGACAGGAAUUAAUGGCCCCUGAUGUGGGCUUGGGUACCUACGAGAGUCUUUGUGGAGGUUGGAGGGGUUGGAUUGCAUAUUUUAGGAUGGCAGGGUUAGAGGGAACAGAAAAGACUACAUCUGUCUUGCUGACUGCUGGAUCUAACACAUGGUAGGGGCUUGUUAGGCAUCAUUGAAUGUAUCAGUACAGUAGAAUAUAACUGUUGAUACAGAUAUAUGUAUAGGUAAUGUUUACAGUUAUGUAGGGGACUAGUGGGGUAAGGUGCAGGAGAAAACAGGUUAAGACAAGAUUAAGCAAGAGUUUUUAUCAGUUAAUUGAUAUGUCCCAAAUGCCCAGAAUAGCAUCUGGCAUGUAGUGGGCAUUCAGUAAAUAUCUGUUGAGUUAAUGAAAUGAUUAAUGGCAUAAUUUGGGGCUGUCAUGUAAGUAGUAGGGGGAAGCAUGGAAGGUUUUUGAGAAAGUACCAUUUAGGAAAGGUCCAUGGCAGCCAUGUGGACAAGCCGAUUGUAAAUGGAGGAAUAAAGAAGCAAAUUAAGAGAUUAUGUCAUAAAGUGGGCACAGGGUCAUGAGGAGCGUCUGAAAUAGAUGAGUGGCAUUGGAAACAAGAAGGACGGGCAGGAUGGAGACAUCACAAAAACAGACUUCCUGAAUGGUUAUAGUAGGUGUCAAGGGAAGGUUGAGUCAGAAGAUGCCUGCAGUCUGAGGUGCUAAGGAGUCCAGAUAAGUUGGAAAAUGAUCAUAUGAUUGGCAUAGAGGAAACAAAGUAGGGUUUUGUUGGAGGGGAGGGGCAGCGGGUAUUAAUGAUUAGUUUUAGAUACUUAGAUAUGAUAUAAGGGCAAAUCAUCUCCAUUAGGCACUUACUUGCAAGCCAAAAAAAAGGUUGAAAUUCAGGAGCGUCCUCCCAGGGCUGGAGAUCAGGUUUGUGAGUGAUGGUCUGCAGGUUGCCAUGGGAAGCAGGAGCUUCUUGAGGGUGGGAGUGGGUAGGGAGACUGGGGGCUGCCUGGGGAGCAGCAUGGCCACUGCCUCUUGGUUCACAGAGCUGUUGGCUUCCAGUUCAACUGUUUCUUUUAACAGCACAGAGGUCUUAGGAGCCAUACUUUGUUCAUGUCUAGGGAGCUUUCAUUCCAAGGGAUUCUCCCUGCUCUCUUCCCCAGCAUUGCCUUUAUUUAUUAUGUAGGGGCAUUUUAUUGUCAUAGCUAUUUAUCUGGUAAGAUAUCUGCUGUGUGAAAGUUUUAUAAUUUGUGUCUAAUGAAUGAGCAUCCUCUGCAGGAACAGAUCCCUCUGCUGUUUUUGGAGGAUAUGCUGCUCAUGACUCUGUGUGUGUGUGUGUGUGUGUGUUGUGUGUGUGUGUGUGUGUGUGUAAAACUCUUAGAAAUAGAUCUCCAACAACUAAUCUUACAACCUCAAAUGACAGAGUAAUGUGUACAUUAUGGAUUGAAUAAAAACUUGAAGAAUGUUAAUAUGGAAAAUUAGAAUUAGUAAUGAAAUACAAAGUCAUUUGCCAUAGAAUACUGUAGCUUUCACAUUUUUACUUUAAAAAUUCCAGUUUACGAGAAAUUUUCAAAUAGAAAUAAUUGGGAACGUUAGAUCCUUGUUAAAAAAUACUCUUUUUUUUUCUUUUGAGACAGAGUCUCACUUUGUUGCCCUGGUGCAAUCUUGGCCCACUGCAACCUCUGCCUCUCGGGUUCAAGUGAUUCUCCUGUCUCAGCCUCCUGAGUAGCUGGGACUACAGGCACCCACCACCACACCCGGCUAAUUUUUGUAUUUUUAGUAGAGGCGGGGCUUCACCAUAUUGGCCAGGCUGGUCUUGAACUCCUGACCUUGUGAUCCACCCGCCUCGGCCUCCCAAAGUGCUGGCAUUACAGGUGUGAGCCACCACGCCUGGCCAGAAACAUUCUUUUUGUGCUCCUCUUGGCAGCACAUAUGCAAAACCAGGAAAGACACAGAGAAGAUUAGCAUGGCCCUUAUGCAAGGAUGACACACACAUUUAUGAAGCAUUUUAUAUUUUUAUCCUUAUGAAACACUCAAAGAAACGUCAUUUACCACUUUUCCAGCUGCGGUGGACCAGACAUUUUCAGAUUUGCCUGUUUUCCCUGUCCUAUUUUUGUUGUAAUUUUUUUUUAAUACCGCACUUACUGGUGUUCAUAUAAAAUAAACUUGAGUAAACCAGAAUUCUGUGAGUUUUGCCAGACUUUAAUUGUGUUGUAUUGCUUGCUUUUUAAACAAAUUAAUAGUGAAAAAUAAUUUAGCGACCUCCCAGUUGUAAACUUCUAAAUAGCAGUUUGUGUCUGUAUAUCUCUUCAAGUCAAGCAUCUGCUCAAAAGAUAUUGUUGAUGAUGUGAUAAAUGCAGUUUCAUGAAACUUGGCAGUUCCCAUAAAUAAUUGAAUAACAUAGGUUGUAUUUACCUCUGUAGUGUCUAGACUAGAGAAUUAGAAUCACGAGUUUAUAAAAAUCUAGGUUGCUGUCUACACACAAAUAGAAUAGUAUUUAAAAUUGUGUUUUCCAUGGGAUAAUGAUGAAAUUUUUAUUGGGCCAAGUGGGUAGCUAUCUGGAGAAAGGUGAGGUUGGUUUCAUAUCUCAUACCAUUCAGAUAAACUCCAACCUGAUCAAUUAAUUUUAUAUGAUGACCAGUGUCAUAUUCAACAGAGUUAUGACAAAGAAAGAAAGGAAGGAGAAAUCAGAAAGGCAAUUCAGCAAAUGUCUAGUCUACCUCAGUUGGAAAAAAGUGAAAAAUGAUAUUUUUAAGAAGGAUUUCAAUAUACAAAUAUAUAUUUGUAUCUGCAUAAAAUGCUGAGAAACUGGAAGACAUUCCUUUAUAACCUUGAAGUAAGAAGGACUUUUUAACUGUGACUCAGAAUCCAGCAGCCAUUAAAAAAAAUGAUAAAUUUGACUAAAUUCAAAUAAAGUAUUUUUACCUGAUUAAAAAAAUGCCAUAAGCAAAUUCAAAUGACAAUCAGAGAAGAAACUAUUUGCAGUGGACAGUUAACCUCCAUAUAAAGAGUUUCUACAAAUGAAUAAGAAAAUGACUUUCUUAUUCAUUGAAGGCCAAGGCAGGUGGAUCAUCUGAGGUCAGGAUUCGAGACCAGUCUGGACAACAUGGUGAAACCCUGUCUCUACUAAAAAUGCAAAAAUUAGCUGGGUGUGGUGGUGCAUGUCUGUAAUCCCAGCUACUUGGGAGGCUGAGGCAGGAGAAUCGCUUGAACCUGGGAGGCGGAGGUUGCAGUGAGCUGAGAUCACGCCACUGCAUUCCAGCUUGGGCAACAGAGCGAGACUCUGUCUCAAAAGAAAAAAGAAAAAGAAAAUGACUUGUAAUACCAAUAGCCUAGGCAAAGGAUAUGAACAGAUUAUCCUCAGAAUAAGAAAAACAUUGUCUUGGCCGGGUGCGGUGUUUCACGCCUGUAAUCCCAGCACUUUGGGAGGCUGAGGCAGGUGGAUCACGAGGUCAGGAGUUCGAAUUCGAGACCAGCCUGGCCAACAUGGUGAAACCCUGUCUCUACUAAAGAUACAAAAAAUUAGCUGGGCGUAGUGGCACGUGCCUGUAUCCCAGCUACUCAGAGGCUGAGGCAGGAGAAUUGCUUGAACCGGGGAGGUGGAGGUUGCAGUGAGCCAAGAUCGCACCAUUGCACUCCAGCCUGGGUGAAAGGGCGAGACUCUGUCUCAGAAAAAAAGAGAGAGAGAAAGAAAUACAUUGUUUUCAAACCUACCAAAAGAUCUUCAGCCUUACACAUAAUAAGAGAAUCACAAACUUAAACUGUGCUGAAGUAGCACUUUUAACUUUAUCAGAUUGGCAAAAAUUCUACAGUGUGACACUUAGAAAUUGUUGACCAGUUGUGGAAACAUCAGCACUGUACUUCUGAGAGUACAGAAUGGCAUAACCCUCAUGAAGGCCAGUUCGGCCAGUUUUCAUCUAUCGAGAUUACAAAUACAAUUACCCUUUGACCCAGCAGUCUGGCUCUGGCAAUUACUCCUGCAGAUACAUCUGAAUACAUAUGCGGUGACCUAUAGAGUAGGUGUCUCAUUAGACCAUUGUUUAUAAUAGAAAAGACUGGAAGCAAUUCAAGUAUCCACUGGUGAAAGACUGGUUAAAUAAACUAUGAUCCACCUUUACAAUGGAAUAUUGUGCAGCAUUUUAAAGAGAGCAUGGAAACUCUUCAUACGUUGAUAUGGAAAGACCUCCAAGAUAUGUUAUUAAAUGGAAAAAAAAACCCACCAAAGUAUAGAACCAUAUAUAGUAUGCUCCCUUUGAUGUAGAAAGGAGACAAAAUAUGAGUCUAUAGUCAUAUCUGCUUGAAUCCACAUGAAGAAACAUUGAAAGGAUAAACAAAAGGAGUUCAAUAAAAGUGGUUACUUUUAGUGGGUGGGUGGGGGAUAGCAUGGAUAAGGAUGUGUGAGCAGGAAGAGGCAGGGGGCAAUACUCUUCAUUGUGUACUCUGUUGUAUUAUUUUUAUAUUUGAAGCCUGUAAAGUAUUACCUAUUCAAAACAAAAAAUAAGUUACAUGUCUUUACAGUUGUAUUUCAGUGCCAAUUCAACAUAUGUCCAAGGGCCAGAAAUACCUUCCCAGAGCUUUUAUCAUUUCUUGUUGGUACUGUUGCCUACAGCCUCCUAAGUGGGUCUUGUAUUAGCUGUAGUGGUUUAUCUACAGUUGUGCUGUCCGUUGUGGUAGUCACUGGCCACAUCUGGCUUUUGAGCACUUGAAAUGUGGCUAGUCUAAAUUGAGAUGUGCUGCACUGUGCCUGAUUUAGAAGACUUAGUAUGAAAAAAAGAAUGUAAGCUAUCUCAUUUAUAAUUUUAAAACUCUUGAUUACAUGGUGAAAGAUAGUAGUUUGUGUUUGAGGGGUUAAACCAUAUUAUUAAAUUAAUUUCACUUGUCUUUUCUUACCUUAAAUGUGGCUGCUAGGAAAUUUAAAAUUACAUAUGUGGCUUGGCCCUGUGGUUGGCAUUUUACUUCUUUUGUGCAGCCCUGAUGUAGCCUUCUAUCCACAGUCAGCAUGUCUGCCAGAAUUACUUAAAAACAACAACAGAACCUACAUGUGUCAUUUCACUGCUUUAAAACCUCUCGCCUCCUACAUGCCUAAAGAGACCCUUUGUAAAUAGUCUCUGAGAUCCUUCCUUUACCCAUUCCCCACUUCCCUGCACAUACAAACGCUGCUUCUCUUUACUCCCUGGACUGCAGGCCUCUUGAUAAAUUUGAGUCUCUGAACACACUGUUCUUUCUGUUUGGAAUGUCCUUUCGCCCCCAUUUUGUUGCCCAGAAAAUUCCUACUCAUCUAUAAGCCCCGUUCACGUGGCCCCUUUUUUGAUGAGGCAUCCCUAGUUCCCCUGUCCCAUUUUCUUAUAGCAGCUAGUAGACCUCUAUGUUCUCACACUCAUCCUCAGUACCACGGUUGUCCCCUGAAAGGUGUUGUCUCCCUCACCAGACUGGGAGCACCUCAAGGGCAGAACCCAUGUCAUGUUCCUUUUUGUAUUUCCAGACCUGAAACUGCCAGUAAAUAAACCCUAAAAGUAGAAAGAAAAAAAAAAACCUAAAAAGAAGUUGGUUGUAUUUGGUUGAGAGUACACCAUGCCCGGUUUGCCUUGAUGAUGCUUCUAUGUCUAAUCUGUAUAUUGAGGAAAGCAGGCUGCAACCUGUCAGCCUUCCUUGAUUAAGAAUAGGCCUCUUUGGAGUGUUCUAGCUUUGAACAAGCCAGCCUCCCUGCAAGCAGAAGAUUACAAACUGCAGAGAUGUCAGUAGCACCAAACCCGCAGUGAGUUCUAGUUUUCAGGGCUGUGUUCAGACUGGAAGAUGGGAAUUAUCUGUGUUCUGUUCAGAGAGCAGAAUUCUCCAGGCUGGCCAGGUGCCUGCGUUUGCAGAAGAUAAAGGUAGCAGGUGGUUGCCAGAAGGUGAAAGCAUCAGUGGAGCAUGGCCAGCUCCAAGGAGGCGGUGAGCUGGAAUAAUGAAGUUCUCCACAGUCUGGUCUGUGGGAUCUUACUUCGGUUACCAACUCCGUGGAAAGUUAUUCUUGCUUGUUAAUAUUCCCAUUGUCCUUCUCUUCUGUUGCGUUAAGCUUUUGUUCUAAAGAGAAAUGAAGAAUAAUAAACAAUACCCAAACUAUGUGGAGUAAAGAUUUUUGGAAGGAAAAAUUAGAAUUUUGCAAGAAACUUCUCUCUUUAGCAAAGUAAACUGAAAGGGCCUGUGUUUACCCUCCAAGAUUUUAGAAGCAUUAUUGCCAUUGUUCAGAAUCUACUAAUUUCAUAUAUAGAGAUCCGGAUAUUUUCAUCAGGUAAAGCUUCCUGUGCAGCUCUCAUAAUCAGCUGGUUGAGGAGCUCUUUCUUUAGCAAAAUUUUGAGAGCUAGUAGUGUAGUAGAAAGUACAGUACCUGCAGUGGCUAGAAAAACCAGUCUGAACCUAGGACUGUCACUACCUAGUGGUGUGGACUUUGCAAGCUACUUCACAUCUUUAAGCCCUCAUUAUUGAGUAAAAUGAGGCUUAAACACAUCCUAAGUUAUAGGCAUUACAAGAGGUGAAUGAAUGCAGGGGCCUAGCACUGUGCCUGGUCCAUAGUAGGUUUUGGUAAAUAGGAGUUAUAGCUCCGAUAUGAAUACACAUUUUCUUUUGCAGGUAUCUGGUGUUGAAUAACCAGGUGAGAAUGCCCAAGGUCAGAGAGGAGUAUGUCCUUUCAUAGUGGGCAGACUGUGGUGAGUGAGUGCUCCUCAGCAGCAGGUUAGUUCUUCAGAGCCUCACCACCAGCCCAGGGAGAGAGGACAGGAGCAGCUGGGUAAAGGAGUCAGGACACGUGGGUUGGAGAACUGGCUUUGCCAUUAGUUAGUCCCAUGAGGAUUCACUCUGCCUCCUUGGUCCUGUUUGUAAAACGAGGCUGGUGAUCAUUUCCAUCUCUAAAUACUAUAGUCUGUCGCCAUAAAGCAACAGAAUUGGGCCCCCAGAAGUUACACUGCCUUGUUUGUAGGAUACCGAUUCACCAGGCCGGACUCUGAGAACGAACCUGGAUGUUGCACAACAAGGCUGUGUCAUCUCCGAAUGCCCUGAACUGGAGGCGGGUUCCCAUUUCCCCUUCGAGAUUAUGUCCAGAGGCGCAGGUCAUCUUUCCAGGCUCCAUUCCCCUUGUUCUGCUUUCAUAUUCUCCUGAGCUCGACCUGGUUCAAUUUCUCCCUGGAGAGGCUCACUAUUUUUUCUGGGGUUGAGAUCUGAUCCUCGUCAUUCUUUUGACAAGAGAUACAGAAUCAUCAUUUUUAAGAGGAAGUUUAUCAGCAGGCUGUUUUUAAAAGUGAGUUUUGUGCUUGAUACAAAUUUGUAUGAUGUUUGCUUUCUCUUAAGCACUCGAGGUCUGUACAGUCAGCCUUCUUUGCCUCAUUUGCUCCCCUUCCUCCCCUGCCUCCCAUCUUAUUUGACUGCUAACCUGGGCAGGCCCACCAUUCAUUCUUGUUUGAGACAGAUGAACACAGUACUUUGUAUGCCUUAUGACCAGAUAAUUCAAGCUGACAGUAAUCAAGUUUGGGGCUAAUUAUCAUUAAAAGGUAAUUUCAUUGCUGCCCGUAAUUGAUCUUAUCUUAAACCAAUUGUAGCAUUUCUUUUGUCACAUGAUUUAAAAAUUUAAAAAAAAAAUGCUUUUGGCAAUAAACUUUUGAAAACAGAUUUUCUACACUCAGUUCUUUUUAAAACCAACUUUACAAACUUUAAAUGUGCUCUUAUUAAUGUGGUGAUAUGUCUGCUUUGUAAUAUUGCAUAUUCAAAAUAAAAAGAAAAUGGAGACAGUUCAUCACUGAAAUGGAUGUUACAAAAUCAGCAUCUGGUUUGAAUAAUGAGUCUUCUGGUCCAAGUUUUGCUUCAGUGAAUGAAACUAAUGAAACUGGCCUCCAUUGUUAUGUCAGUGACUUCACCUCCACUAACUUUUGGUUUCUUUCCGUUGCCAAUUUGGAGGCCACUAAGGUUUCUUCAGAAAGUUCUUUCCUAGUGGUAUUUGUUCUAAGUAACUCUGGGACAGCCAAGUAUCUGUCACCAGCAGGGGAGAGGCAAAGACACCUCAUGAUCAUAAAAUCAUAGGUAUGGGACGUUUCAAGUAUCCUUUGCCACCAGUCAAGCUCUGGAAACAAGAGCAAAGUGAAAAAACAGCUCUAGAGUUGGAACGAUUAAAAAUUAGAUGUUGGUACAGCACCAUAAUACUACACAAUUCUAGGUCAGGCAUAUAGACAGCUGUCCCAAGUCUUGUUUCUUCCUUGAACUCUGAUGCUUGCAGAAAUAUGGUUGUACCUGGGAAAUGAUCACCCUGGCUGCAAGGCACAGAGCCACCCUACUUCUCCUGCUGGUAACACACACACACAUGCACAUGCAUGCAUGCUGCAUGCACACACACACCCCUGGGACGUCUCCUGAAGGUAAAUACACUGUUGUUGUUAUUAGGUUUUCUGAUCCAUAGGUAUCUAUGCUAAUAAUAAGUAACAAUAUCCUCUAAUACUUACAGAGCACUUUUUGAUUCAUCAUUUGAUUUGGCCUUCAGAAAACCACUUGAAGAUGAAUAGCAUAGAUUUUAUUAUCCGCCUUUUACUGAGGAACCUCCUCAAAGAAGCAUUGUGACUUAUUCAAAGACAUAGCUAUCAUGUGAUAGAAAGUGAUGAUAUUUUAUAAAGGCCUAGUUUUAUAUUUUACCAUAAAACUGAAGGAAAAUCCUUUAUUGCAUGUUCUUCCUCAAUAAAAAGCUCACCAAAUGAAUUAACAAACAAACACAUAAAUAAAAUGUAACAAAACCCUAAUAAAUAAAACAGAACCCUAAAGAGAAAUGUCUUCAGUGGUCAGAAAGUAGAAACAUGGAAGCAAAUGAAUAUUUUCUGUUUGUUACUUCUGUGCCUAUAACCAGAUGUGGCAAGGAUGCAGGCAAGCCUACGGUAGAUUUGCAAUAAGUAUUUAUUGAACUUAACUGGAUUAGCAUUACUUUGCUAAGUAGGAAAACAACAGACUAUCCCUUUAUCUAUGAAUACUUUGAUACUCGGGUUGUAUCAAGCAUAAAAUAGACCAAGAUUUUCUAUGAAUUCCUUACUUUUCUUCAGCCAGAUCUAGUUGUCUGCUGUAGCAGAGUCCUCAGAAAACUCUAAGCCAGAAAAUCAGGGUCAUUUGUCCAUCUUGUUGACCAGAUUGCAAGCAUUUUCCCCCACCCUAGUUUUUAAUUUUAAAUGUAUUAGCAGUGGUAGUUUUUACUGCUAUCUUUACAAAAAUAAGAGGCGAACAAAACUUUUGGAUGGAAUUAGAAGUCCCUCCCAGGCAAGGCUCCCGGGUUGCGAGUGUGAUUUUAGGUGACUGAGAUAUCAUGCUACCCUGUGGCCAGCCAUGUGGGCACAUCACCACGUCUUAGUCUUCAGGACACUGAGGCAGAAAGCACCGUCCCAUUCACACCUUGGUAACUGAACUCUAACAUCUCAGCCUGAGAAUCCUAGAUUUUUUGCUUAUUUGUUUUUAAACUAACCUUUUCUUUUCUUUUCUUUCUUUCUCUCUCUCUCUUUUUUCUUUUUUUGAUGGAGUCUCACUCUGUCGCCCAGGCUGGAGUGCAAUGGCGUGAUCUCCGCUCACUACAACCUCUGCCUCCCAGGUUCAAGUGAUUCUCCUCCCGCAGCCUCCCAAGUAACUGAGAUUACAGGCACACACCACCACACCCAGCUAAUUUUUGUAUUUUUAUCAGAAAUGGGGUUUCACUGUGUUGGCCAGGCUGGUCUCGAACUCCUGACCUCAGGUGAUCUGCCCACCUUGGCCUCCCAAAGUGCUGGGAUUACAGGUGUGAGCCACCAUGCCCGGCCUAAACUUUCUAAUUAUAAUUCUUUUCAGUUGAUUCUUUUCCUCUUGACCAGUCUUCUUUUAAAAUUUUAACUCUUCAGGAGUCAAAUGAAUGUUUUCCUUUUUAUUGAUAAAUGUGUGUGACGUGCAACUGUUCCUUAAAAAAAUAUCUAGUGUAGUUUGUAAUGUAACCUUUGCAGCUUCAUUCUGAGUUCUUUUGUGACAACUUCUCGUUGGAUACUACUACUCUUUUAAGUUCACUUAGGCUGUUUAGGAUUCAAGUCUUCAUAUGCCCAUCUCUUUUGGCUUGGCUGAUUCUCUCUUCAGUUGUUGGCCUUGUUUGGCCUUCGGGAGAUGAGGCAAGGUGAGUGCCCUCCAUCCCCACAGUCUCUCAUGGCUAAUACUGAACAGGGGUUGGCAGAGUGGGUGAUGGAAGGACCAUUAUUUAGCAGCCUGUUGACAGAGUUCGUCCCAGUUCAGCCAUUCACUAGCUCUAUUAUCUAGGACUAGUUAAUUUGUACAAACCUUAGUUUCCUUGUGUGUAAAAUGAGUUAAGUAAUAGCCAUUUCACAGUGUUGAGGAUGGAUUGAGAUGGUAUAAUUGGAAGUGCUUUACAGUAUUCAGUGCUAUUGUUAUUACAGAUGUUUUUUUCCUGGGCAGGUGGUUGAUAUACCUUGAGAGAGCGUUUAUGGGUUAUCAGAUGAAAUAUGUAGGCAUGUGGCGUAUCGGUUACCUGAAUAAGGAAAAGGAUAGGCCAGUUUUUAAAUUAUUAUUUUUUUAAAUUUCAAUUUUAUUUUUCCCCGCUUUAUUGAGGUAUCACUGAUGAAUUUAAAGUGAAUAUAUUUACCAUAUGCAACGUGAUGUUUUGAUAUAUGUCGACAUUGUGGAAUGAUUACCAGAAACCAGCUAAUUAACUGACCCAUCACCUCACAUAGUUACCUUUGUGUGUGUGGUGAAAACAUUGAAGACCAGCCCUCUCACCAGCUUUCAGGUAUAUAAAACAGUAUUGUUAACGAUAGUUACUGUGCUGUUAAUUACAUCCCCAGAAGUAUUCAUCUUAUAACUGGAAGUUUAUAUCCUUUAGCUAAUGGCUUCCUAUUCCUCCUCCAGCCAUCCACCCCCAGACCCUGGCAACCACCAUUCUAAUUCUACCCUCUGUUUCUAUGAGUUCGACUUUCUUAGUUCCCACAUAUAAGUGAGAUCAUACAGUACUUGUCUUUCUGUGUCUGACUUUUUCAUUUAGAGUAAUGCCCUCAAGAUUCAUUCAUGUUAUUGCAAAUGGCAAAGUUUCCUUUUUUUAUGACUGAAUAAUUUCCAUUGUGUUUGAAUACCACAAUUUUUAAAAUCUGUUUAUCCAUCGAUGGACACUUAGGUUGUUUCCAUGGCUUAGCUAUUGAGAAUAAUGCGUCAGUGAACACGGGAGUGCAGGUAUCUCUUUGAGAUACUGAUUUUUUGUUCUUUGGGCAUCUAUCCAGAAGUGGGGUUGCUGGAUCACACAGUAGUUCUGUUUUUAAUAUUUUGAGGCACCUUCGUACUGUUUUUUCCAUAGUGGCUAUACCAGUUUACAUUCCUGCCAGCAGUGCACAAGGGUUUCAUUUUCUCCACAGAGGACAGGCCCUCCUUGAUCAGGCUGCCUCAUGGGAUGAUCAGAUCCAUAAGAAACUGAGCAAGUGAAUGUUAGAGGAGCAGAGAGAACUGGCAGGGAAGAGUAAAGACAACAUGAGUUGUUUUGAUUAUAGAGAGACAAGCUUGGAAACCAAGGGCAGGGGCUAUCCUGCCACCAAAAUGUAAUAAUAAGAGCACCAUGACGAGGCUCCUCAUUUGAAACUAGGAUGCCAGUGACCUUGGGGACUGAAUGAAUUUGGCAUUGCUGGAAAGGUAAGCAUGAAGAGAGGUUGGAAGGUUAAUCCAAUCGGGGCAUUAACUGGACCUGGAUAUGACUGUCUGGGCUAGGAAAAAGUAAUGCCAAGUCCAGUGCCUGGCAGAGCAAGGGCUGAGGAAAUACUUGUUGAGUGAAUCAGUGGGUACAAUAAAGAUAGUGCAGAGAAGCAGUUGCAGAAUUGAGGUUGUAUUGUCACACUGCCAUCUGGAAAAGCCUGUUCUCUGAAGAAGAGAGUUACUGCAUCCCACCCCCCAGGUCUGAUCAGUGGGCGUCUGGGACCUGGGAGCUCAUUGUUUUAGCCCUGAUGGAGCAAAUGCCUUCUGAGCUCAGGGAAGUGAGGCGUGCCUGGGUGUGGUGCUGGAUCUAAGCCUUUACGCUUAUGUCUCUGGUUUCAUUUGUAGGCCACCAUUUAUUUUACUUUUAAUAAGUCAUCUCUGUGAAAAUGCUUUAGGUCCAUCGUAGGGUCUGUAAAGUGGAACUCCGUAUGCAUUCUCUGGCAGUAAACUACAUUAGAUAUGUGUGUCUAACAACGGAAGUGGUGUCUCUGUGUAUUCUUUCCUUUGAACCACUAUUGAAUGGCAUUUUGUUCUGAUAAUGUUGUAACCUGUGAGGUCCUUAUGUCCUCAUUUUGUGUAUGUGCCUUGGGUUGACUACGUUCACUUAAUUUUGCCUUGUUUCUGUUGGUCUGCCAUGGUGGCCUCUGGCUUAGAUAGCUACAGUGUAAUUUUUGGCUUGAGAAGUUGAAGCCCAUGGAGACACUAGAUUCCUAUAUUCCUGGCUGUUUCAUGCUGUAUGUCAUGAAACACAUCUCCAGUUUAGGUUUCAUCAAUUUGGAGGGAGAAGCUCAGUGAGUACAGGUACUGAGAACAUUCUCAGUGCCCCAAAGCACUUUAGUAAAGUACAUCUGAUACCAAGGUGUUCCUGGUUGUAUUCUCCACAGGUGACUUGCCUCAGCUACUAUAUGGGCUCACAUUUCUGUAGUAGGUCAUGGUUUUUGAAAUACACAAAAGUGCUUCAAGAGACUGGUUGUAAAACUCUGCCCAUGAUGAGAAAUACCUUCAAGAUACUUCACUCACUAAGUGCUGGAAACGUACUCUAGUGGGAUGUUUGUGGAUUGGUUGGUGUUUGAGGGACAAAUAUAAAGCACACCUGUAAAACUGGGAGAAUCAGGUGGCAGAUUAAUUCGAUGUUGGCAGCUUGAGUCAUCAAAAUUUAGAUGCUUCUGCUGCAAUUAGGAAUUUGUAGUCACUUUGUUUCCUCUUCCAGAAAUAAAGAACCGAGGUAUAAUUUACAUAAUUUUCCUGAACUCAAAAUCUGUGAGGAACCAAGGCAGUCCUGUAACUAACUCUCAGAUUCCUCCAGUUCCAGCCUUGUGCUAGCCCACUAGACCAUGGGGCCUGCAUGGAAGAUGAAAGUGUAAAAGUCUGAACCUGUGUUUCCUAAGUCAGUGGAAUGCUGUGUCUCUUGCUUAUAUAUAUAGUACAGUAUUUCAUAUCGGGGUGCAUGGUGCUCACAGCUGAAAGGAGUAUUUAUAUGCAGCCUUCAGAGGUAUGCUUGGUAUGAAAACCGUAAGUGAUCUGCCUCACUGGUUUGUUUAAAAUUCUCAAGCAUAUUGCUAUCCUAACAUAGCUUUUAUUCACUGCAUCUCCUUUGCAGUGGAGGGAAAUGACCAUAUGGUGAAUGAAAAAUAUACUGGACUUGAUCCCCAUAGCAAGAAAGGCCUAUAAUGUUUAUGUUAGAAGGUGAUCCUGUGUUUCUUCUGCUUGGCAGAAGGCUUGGAUGUAUAAUGAGGUAUUAACACGUGUCAGAUCCUGUGUCUCCCUAGAACUCGGUGUUGUCUUGUAACACUUGAGUUCUAUUUAUUGAAAUGAUGACAUGUGGUAAUUGGGACGUUGCUGCUCAGCAAGCCAGGUGCAUGUCUGCGUCAGAGGUUGUUGGGAGAGUGGCUGUUGGAACAUUAACUCCAGAUUUCCUGACUUGUGUGUGAUGAAAAUAUCAACCCCAAUGUGGAGUUAAACCAAUACCAAAAGCAAGUGAAAAGAAAAACCAUUGCUCUUCGGAAGGAAAAAUGCCACAUCAACAAUACUAGGGGAUUUAUUUGUAAUCCUUUGGUCUGAUAUGGAUUCAUUUAUUUUCUCUAGUUUUACUAUCAUAAAUAAAGCAUUUUAAACGCUGAAAUAACCUGUAAGACAGCAUUCACAGUGAAGGUUAUUCUUGUUACCUACUGAAAACCUCCACGUGUGCUUGGAUUGGAUCCUAGCAGAACCGAUCGUGAGCUUGCCAGUGUGUCAUCCUUAAAACAGUUUCCCAUGCUACCUCAUUUUUCUUGGGAAUAUGUUGUUACUCCUGGAAGAGAGUCCAAAUGCAAAAUAGCUUUUUGUUUGUUUGGUUUACUUUUAAUGAAGAAAGAAGCCACGGUUGAUGAGGAUGAGAUGCUGUGUGCUCAUCGAGUCACUUUGAUAAAGUGAGAAAUGAAAGCUUUUUCUGUAGCCGCUUGUAUAAUUCUUUCUGGUAGACUCUUCCUCUUGCGUCUGUGGUAACACAGACUCAAUGCAAUGAGGUGGGAGGAGCAAGUCAAGCUUGGUAUGUUGCUGACAGGCAAAAUCUUACAAUUAAGCUGAUUAAGUCUUAAAUCGGUCAGUUUCCCACUUUGAUAUUAGGGUAUUUAACAGGAUAUAAUUUUAUAAGUUGCUUCUUUCUAAAGGAGCCUUAGGGUGUGACGAAGGAAAUCCUUUUGUCAAACUAAAAGGUGAACUCAGUGCAACUGCCUUCCUAUCAACUCUGCGCAUUCCUGAAAUAGGGCAGGCGUUGCUGCUGGGCUCAGGUGUCCCAAGGUGCAGUUUUAUCCACUCGAAAACCGUUAUGUGUUCAGCUCAAUUAGAUUAAUUACCUUCCUCACCAGGAUUCACAAUGCUUUGCAGUUUAUCUGCGGUAACUAAAUGUUAGUUUUGUAAGUAAAAGGUACUGUUAUUGACCUCGAAAGGGCUAUAGUUCCUUUGAACUUACAGAGAAGAGUUCCAAACAACUAUUUCUAACCAAGAUGGAAUAUGGGUCAGCAAAAUUGUCUUCAGGUAGAGUUUUCUACUUGCCAAGAGACUUUGGCAUUUAGAGGAGAGUUCUUGUUUGUUUUUUUAACUCUGUAUCAUUUCUGUUUGGUGUCUCUAAAAAAAAAUCUGGGCAUGUCAUAACCUAACAUGCAGUUUUCUGUAUCUCCUAGAGUUACUAGCAUAUUUUAAAUACUCUUGGUUUCCAGAUGAAGAUCUCUGAGCUGAACCCAAGCUAUUGUCUAUUGAGAGGUCACACAGAAAUCCACCUCGGGUGAGACAUGGUUGUUUCAUGAGGGCUAAGCAAAAGUCAAGGGCAGAGUCUUCUACCCUGAGCUGCCUCAGGUUAAGUGGUAUACUAUUUCUGAUGCACAGUAAAGAAAGAAUAGGCACUGUUUGCACUCUUCGGUGAUGACGUUUAAUCUUUUAAUCUCCCCUUAUUCUUCCCCAUGGGAAGACAAAAAUGGGAAGAUUCAGAUAAUUAUUUAUAGGGUUGGACAUUGAGUGGGUCUGCGAACCUAAUACUUUCCAGAAUCCUAGUGUUGUAGGAAUUCUCAGUUACCAACCUUGGUACUGAAAUAAGUAAAGUAGGAGGGAGGUGGGGAAUCACAGGUCAAGCAUGAAUAAGGCCACAUCUGGCAGAACUGGGACAUAUCUUCAAUACAACAGUGAUAAUAGUAACACUAUCCACAUGUUUAUCUAAGUGACAAAUUAUUAAGUAGUUACAUUUACAUUCCUUAUUUUGUGGGCUUCUUAUGUAACUCAGACAUGUAAGGGCAGGUUGUUAAAUCCUAUUUGUUUAUUCAGUAAAUAUUUAUUGAGUGCCUAGUAUUUGCCAGGCUCUGUCCUAGGUACAAAGGAUACAAUUGGGAACAAAACAAUAAAGAAAUCCUGUUUUUGUGGAAUUUAUGUGUUAGCUGUAGGGAGACAGACCACAAAUAAAUGAAGUGAGUGAAACAAAAGUUAUGUUGGGAAAUGAAACUGCCAUGGAGAAAAGUAAGAUAAGGAAAGUGGAGAGGGGGAGUGUGGGGUUGUCACAGUACUACCUAGGGUGGCCGGGGAGUCGCCCCAGGGAGAAGACAUUUGAGUAAUGACCUGCGGGAAGUGGGAAGGUGGCCAGCUGGGAGAACAGCAUUCCAAGUAGACGGAACAGCUCGGACUGGGGCCCUGAGGUGGGAGCCUGCCCGGUGUGCUGGAGGAACUGCAGGGAGGCCAGUGGGGCUGGAGUGAGUGAGAAAGAGGGCAGGGGGAGAUAAGGUCGUGGUGGGCACCCACGUAGGCCAGUUUGCGCUUGAGGCAUUUACUCUCUGGGAGAUGGGGAGCCAGUGGCCCUUGAGAAGAGGAGGACAGGAUGGAUGAAUGGGUACUUUAAUAGUGUGACUCUGGCUGCAGUGUCUCGAGUAGACUGGAGGGGACAAGGGUGGAAGCAGGGAGACUGAUUAAGAGGGGAUUGCAAUAGUCCAGUAACAAGAUAACCAGUGGUCCUGGUCCAGGUGGUAGUUGUGAAGGUGGUGGGAAGUGGUAGAGUUCUGGGUAGAUUUUAGAGAUAAGGUCAACAGGUUUGGUUUAGGUAUGAGAGAAAGAAAGAAACCAAGGAUGACUCCAGAGUGGUUGACCUGAACAACUGGAAGGAUUUGGUUGGCAUUCACUAAGAUGAGGGUGACUGGCUGGAGGAAGUUUUGGAGGAAGAUGGAAAUCAGGAUCUCUGAUUUGGCCAGGUUAAGUUUGCGAUGCCUAUUGGAUGCCAAAUGAUAAUCUUCAGUGGGCAAUUAAAAAAAUAUAUUUUAGAGAUGGAUCUCGCUCUGCUUCCCAUGCUGGAGUGCAGUGGCUUUUCAGAGGCGCAAUCAUAGUACACUACAGCCUCAAACCCCUGGCAUCAAGCGAUCCUCCCACCUCAGCCACCUAAGUAGCCAGAACUGUAGGUGAAUACCACCAUGCCCAGCAUCCAGUGGGCAAUUUUUGAUAUUCACUUCUGGAGUUCAGGAGAGAGGUCAGGACUGAAGAUAGGCAUUUGGGAAUGGUGGGCAUUAAAACAAUAGACUGGAUGAGAUCCGGGAACCAGUAAAGGAGACCAAGAAGGAGGGACCACCGAGGUGGAAGGAAAAGCCAGGAGGGAGUGACCUGGAAGCCAAGGCAGAGUGUUCCAAAGAGAAGGGACUGGUCAUCCCUAGCAAGUGUUGCCACUGGGGCAAAAAUGGUUACAUCAAUUGGUCAUAAGCUGAGGCCCAAGAUGGGUGACUCACCAAGGGCUGUGGCUGGGGAAAAGCUGGGUUAGGGCUCAAGGUCAAGUUCACUUUCUCUCUGCCAUGAGAGUCCUCUGGCUGUGCUUGACCUUUGAGUGCUGUUUUACGUCAUCGUGUUCUUUUGCAUUGGAGGUGGUAUUGUGUUUGUACUAGUUCUGAUAUUUUAGCAGCAGUAUCUUAUGAUUUUGUUUUUCAGUAUGUAUGAAAAUUUUGAUUUCUCAUAUUUUUAUAUAACUAUGGAGUGUAUGCUCAUUAUAAAAAAAUUAGAAAAACAGAGAAGCAAAGGAAAGACAAAGCUGUUGACUGUAGUUAAACCACUCAGAACCUACCAUGUUUACAAAUCAGUAUAUGUUCUUUCAGACUUUUUUUCAACCACAUAUGCAGACAUUUUUUUUUCAAAAAAUGAAUUUGUGCUAAAUAUUAUAUACCCCUUUUCACCAACUAUGUAUAAUAAGUAUACAUUGUUGUAUUUUUUUCUCAAAUAGUGCCUGGAUAUUUAUGAUAUGGUUUGCAAGGUCAUGGUGAUAAGAAAUAACCUAGGGAUUGCCAAUGAAAACAAGCCCAGAAAUCAGAGAGUGAUACUUAUGGGAAUCGUUUCUAUUCACUGAGCCUUAAGCAUGCGCUGGGCGCUAUCGCCAGGCAUUUUAUUCACAAUAUGUCUUUUAAUUCUCACAAUUGUCCUCUGAGGUGUAGCUGUUACUGUUUCCACUUUUGUAGCAAAUGCCCUAAGAGAUAAAGACAUUUGCUUGUGGUUACCUUGCAGCAAAUGUUGGAGCAGGGAUGGAUUUGGUCCAUCUCUUAUCUCUUUGUGUGUUUCAGAUUUGAGCCCAGGCUAAGCUGUCCCUCCAGCUGCCUGCCUCUGCAUUGUCCCUCGGGGGUGCUGGGCAAUCAGGGUGGUGGCACAGGCUGGGAGGGGUUGUUGGUGCCCUGCCUCCCACCCAGGGUGGCACCACUCCCCAGUUCUGCCACUGAGACAUGCCUGAUGAGGCACCAUUUAUUCCUAUGUGGUUCAUAAGACAACGUGUAGAAAAUUAGCAUUUUAUCCCUCUAGCUGUAUUCUGUUAAAAAUACAUCUAAAAGCAUCCCAUGCCGUAUUGAUCCCUUUUGAGCUAAGAAAAAAAAAUGGCAUUUCCCUCAAGCAGUUAAAUUGUAUUUAUUUUUUUUGUUUGUUUGUUUUUGUUUUUUUUUUUUUACAGAUUCUCAAGUACACCAAGCACACACUUAAAAUGGGCUUACAUUUUAUUUUAUUUUAUUUUUGAAACUGAGUUUUGCUCUAUCACCCAGACUGGAGUGCAGCGGCAGGAUCACAGCUCACUGCAGCCUCAACCUCCUGGGCUCAAGCAAUCCUCCCUCCACAGCCUCCCAAGUAGCUGGGACUACAGGCGUGCAUUACCAUGCCAGGCUUUUUUUUUUUUUAAUGUAGAAAUGAGUCUCAUUAUGCUGUCCAGUCUGGUCUCAAACUUCUGGCCUCAAGCAGUCCUCCUACCUCAACCUCUCAAAGUGCUAGAAUUACAGGCAUGAGCCACCAUGACUGGCCAAAACUGUAAAUGUGUCAGAAUCUUCUGUGAUUCCCUUUCAGCCCUUCUUGGGCACCCUAGUCUUCUUAGAUAUUCUUACAGUAGAAUCAAUAUAUAACACAAUAUAUGUAAUAAUAUAUAACACAUUGUAUAACUGUGUGUCUGUGAUAGAGGUGUGUUUAAUAUGUGGUAUACAGCAAGAGCUAAAACAUUGAAAAGCUGUAGUGGCAGAAAUAUCAGAUUAAUUGUGUUUGAAGUCACAGUUGUGGUAUUAUUUACAAAAUUAAUGUGGCACGAUGAGGAUAAAAACAGAGUUCCACUUGUAUUUCCAAUGCCUCUAUUGUUAUCUGGAAUGCUGAAGGAAUGCUUAUGUCAUUAAGUCACUAAAUAUGCUUCAAAGCAAUUCUGAAAAUGUAAACUUCAUAAAAAUCACUAUGAUAUUUUUAUCUUUUUAGGUGCUUAGAUGACAUGAUCUAUAAAUAAUUCCUAUCACCAGCUCACUGUUAGAUGGAGAAUUUAUUCUUUAUCCAGAGUGGAUGAGUGCUGCCUAAAGUUUUGUUUUGUUUUUUCCAGUUUUUAACCCAAUACAAAAUACAGUGUAGAUGCACAGAUGCCUCAAACCUAUUUCUUGGUGGCCCCAUGACCACUUACCACAGACUUGGUCCAGCUAUUCUUUGGAUUCUUCUUUUCCAGACACACCUUUGCUUCUCAGAAUUUCAGCACAUUUUUAAAGCAGUGCAUAUGGAUGGUGGUCUUGUGAUUCUGUUUUCUUUUCCUUUCUUAUACUUCUUUAAGUUGGAGUCUAGAGUGAUCAGAAUGUGAAGGCACUUCUGUGAUGGGUUAAGUUAAACUGAGCCAUUUUGUAGGACACUAAUCAUGUUGCUCAUAGAGCCUUAACUUAGAGGACUGUAAAUUAAACUUGCAGAAUCACGCUUAGCAUUGAGAAGUUGUCUGAGAUAUAAUUCCAUCCAUCUGAAAGUACCUCUUCCUGCUGGUAAAUGGAGACCUCCUCAUUUAAUAGGGAUUAUAUCUUGUUAUUAUUAUAUAUAUAUGCUCUACCUGAACAAUCAGUAGUUUGAAAAAUAAAACUUUUUUGAUUUGGAUUUGCAGUGAUUUACUUUAUACAAGUUUUAGGCGAGCUCAGAGAGAUGCUAAUCUAAAACCCAGAGUUCAUGUAAGGAUUGUGGUUUAUGAAAAUGCUCUUAUGUAUUGGUUUAGUAAUCCUGGUUUAUAGUUUAUUUUGAACUUGAUUUAUGAACAGAAGUAUUACUCUCAUUUAUUAAGGCUGAUGGGUUUCUCUCCCCACCCUCUCUUCAGAACUUUCUGCUUUGUCCUUUCUAAUAAAUUUGGGAGUGUGGAACACACUGUCCAUGAUUCUUCCUUCCAACAUUAGAUUUUAGACUAAUUAACAGAAGAAAGCAAGCAUCUUUCAAAAACUUGACUUUAAGUACUUGGGUAUAUAUAAUCAGGACCAUUAAAAAGAACACGAUGUUUAGUGCAUCUCUCUUCUCUUAGUGAGCACAGAAACUUCUCUUGGCUGUUUCCAGUGUUGAGGCAGGCCAAGUAUAGCUCCAAGCACUGAAAUCUUGGAGACUAAAAGGCCAUAUCUUUUUGUAGGAAAGUGAGGACCCCUUCUUGUUCAUCAGUUCUGUUUUUGUCACUGGUUAGCUUUUAAAAAUAUGUUUAAAAGGCCAGGCGCGGUGGCUCGUGCCUGUAAUCCCAGCACUUUGGGAGACCGAGGCAGGCAGAUCACCUGAGGUCGGGAGUUUGAGACCAGCCUGACCAACAUGGAGAAACCCCGUCUGUAUUAAAAAUGUAAAAUUAGCGCGGCAUGGUGGUGCAUGCCUGUCAUCCCAGCUACUUGGGAGGCUGAGGCAGGAGAAAUGCUUGAACCUGGGAGGCGGAGGUUGCGGUGAGUCGAGAUCGCUCCAUUGCACUCCAGCCUGGGCAACAAGAGCGAAACUCCGUCUCAAAAGAAAAAAAGAGUUAAAAGGCUGUUCCAUCUUGCAUACUCCUCUCCCCCAUGUUGGUGAGAUUCCAAAGUGUAGAAGUUUUAACUUUUCUAAGCUGGAAUUUAUUAGCUGUAAAAAAAAAAAAAAAGAAAAAAAAAGCUUUUUAGUCUUGCUGGAAGU